rnacentral:lncRNA from 1 species
AAAAGUUCAGCUCAGGAGCCUUGCAGCACGACCUUACUUGAACAGGAUCUGUUCUAUAGGAUCGUACCGCUGCAUCCUUGACUACUAAGGAGGCAAGCACUUAUGCCUGGUUGAUGAGCUAUGACCUGUGGGCCAGAGCGUGAUUAACGGCCAGGAUUGAGUCUGAUCCAGUGCUGUAGAGGAUCGUUUCCAGUCAGGUGCAAGCUUGGCUGGGAUGGCUCAUGGGUUGUCUGACAGGCCUUUUUGUAUAUUUUUUGGCCUCCCAACUAUUCAGUCUAGACUUUUGCAUCUCUUCAUCAGUCUAUAGUUUUGGAUACAUUUCAUUUAUUCAUUACAAGUACUGAGCAACCUUCAUAACAAUGCUGCUUUGAUGAUUCCAAUUUACAAUUUUACAUUCAACAUAGUCCAGCAGAUGAUUGAGAUUAUCUGACUUUAGCCCCUGCUCAACUAAAAAUCUGUUAAAGCUUAUCCUUCCAUUUUGUUAUUAUCAUUGAGCGCUCACUCGAUUUCUUCCUCUUCCAGUUCCAGAUUUCUUGGUGACAACUGACAAAUAGUCAACAGAACGGUCUUUGUUCUGUACAAGCAAUUUUCCUCUGACGUUGUUGUUCUGAACAGACGGAUGGAGACUUCAAAUUGGAUGCUAUUUGCCAUCGCGUCAUUCUUUUGGUUCUGGCCUGGUCUACACUGCUUUCGUCUAGGUCGGUCCGCGCCGUCGUGACCCCUCUAUUAUUUUUUCUGAAUUGCUGUGCGCCUGUGCAAAGCAAGGCGGUACUGAAAAGGAAAUUUCCUGAAAGACCAGCUGAUUUUUCUUUAGCGAAUUCUUCAACUGUGGCUCUAUACGGUAUCAUCACCAACCUGCACUUUUCCAUUAGCCAGCGCCAAUGACACAUGGGUCCCGGGCCCUUACGUCAUUGACUUGUGUAGUUGGUGAAGAUCGGCUCUCAAGUCAGUGACGGUAUGCAUGAACCUUGAGCAUCUUCUGGAUUGUGACGUUCAUUGAGUUUCUACUUUCUAGACGAGAAGUGUCAACAUUUUCUCAUCUUUCACCAUGAUUUCUCUGCAAUUAGAUGAACAGAUAUAAAUAGCUAAAAAGGAUAUCUGAUAAAUCCUUUCAUUUAGACCUGAGACAGUGGGUCGACCGUAGCGUCACGGCCCUCCUUGAUCCGGCGGUUGCGAUUGCACCGGCGCCUACCAAGCCCGAGCUUCCCCAACUGCGCAGCCUCUUCUGCGUCCAGGAAAAGCCUGACGACAGCGGUUGUCGAGAUGCUAGGCAGCUCCUGCUCGGACCUCGGAGCUUGCCGAGCCCACGGUGCCGAUGGUCGUCAGCAAUGGAGCCUUGGCUACGCUCCUGGAGGCCGAUCUCUCCAGGCUCAUGUUAUUACGGGACAAUCGAUUUUAGAUGAGAUACGAUGCAGUCGCUCUGCAUUGCCCAUUUGCUACUUACCCUAUGACGCUUGUUCAUAUUUCAUACAGUUAUUUUUAUUUCAUACUGUUAUUUUUACACUAAUUGUGAUUGUUAGCAGUAACAUUUUUGGCUUGUUUGGCCUAAAAGAUUGAGCUCUGUGAAGAUUGUUAGCAGUAACAUUUUUGGCUUGAUUGGCUUGCUCAACUUAGCACUUAGCAGUAACAUUUUAGUACACUGAUUGCGAUUGUUAGCAGUACUCCGGGUUAGCACCUAGCAGUACUCCGGGAGCUCUGUGAACUGUGAAGAGUGAACUACAACCAUCUAGGAAUCAGCUGAGCUUAUUAUUAUCUUACCUUCUUUUUUAUCCUCAGGUGAGGCAUUAGCAUUAAGCCACCAACAGGGGUAAAGCUAAUGCAGCAUCGAUGGGCUCGACCUGAACUCUGAACUUCUGAAGCCCACACAUACAACAAGUGGCCCAGUGCGCAAUAUGCUGGCCACUCCCACCGAUUAGUACCACCUCGGCUCCUCAAAUGCGUAGAAGCUAACUUAAAAGCUCAGUUCUCCAGCCAUUCAGCACGACCUUACUUGAACAGGAUCUGUUCUAUAGGAUCGUACCGCUGCAUCCUUGACUAAUAAGGAGGCAAGCACUUAAGCCUGGUUGAUGAGUCAUGACCUGUGGGCCAGAGCGUGAUUAACGGCCAGGAUUGGCUUGAUGGCUGUAUCCAGUGCUGUAGAGGAUCGUUCCUGGCUAGGCCUGCUUAGCUUGGAUGGCCCAUGGGUUGUCUGACAGGCUCUUUUUUGUUUUUUUUGUUGUGCUGCAUUUGAAGACAAUUUGUGCAAAAUGUUAUCUUUGACAGCUGUCUUCUUGCUGAACAUUGCUCUCGAGUUAAAAGAGGCGGAUCUCUUGCUCGGUUUUGCCAUUAUUAAUAGAUUAUAAGCUUUCCUUUUCCUUUUUGCUGUGCUGCAUUCAAGGUAAUUGAUGUCAACAGCUGUCUUUUCCCUCAACAUUGAUUUCUUGCUCGUUUUUUUGUCAUUCAUACAGCAAGGAAGUUGUUCCUUUUGCUCUGCUGCAGCCUGCAUUUGAACAACUAUCUUUUCCCUCAACAGCUGCUCAACAUUGUUCUCAAUUUAAAAGGGGCAGAUCUCUUGCUCGUUUUUACCAUUAAUAGAGCAAGACUUGUUGUACAUUUUGUUUGUAAGUUGCUUCUUCAUCUCUGACUGUCCGCGAAUCUGCAUUAUUGUUGAGAAAUGGUGAUUCUUGGUGCUUGAUUUGUAAAAAGUUCACAGUUGUUUUAAUCUUUCUUUUUUGGUUCCAGGUACAAAUGAGUUACAUUAAAAAAACCAUACGUUUCAAAAAAAAAAAGAGUAAAACUGAGUCCCUGAACCUUGUGAGAGAUGUGCAUAAUACAGCCGUAUUCAGACUUCAGAGCAUGUCUGCACUCUGCAGUGCAAGUCUCAAUAUCUGCCAACUGCAAUGCAAAAGCUAUAGUCCUGCUGUUUACUUGGCCUUCAGCUCUGAGCAGCAACAACAUGCCUGUAUUAAAACCCUGCAUGCUUCUGUUUGUCACUGGCUGGCACAGGAUCCAUGGAGAAACCCAUGUGGGCUGCGGCCCAAUACAGAAUGCUAAUAAUCUACAUCUCUGUGAACUGAACCCUGACAAAACACUAGCUAAGAUGGUGCCACCUCGCAAACGCAAACAACUAUCAGCCAGCUUAUAAUGCUGAUCCUCGGCACUCACAGCACGACCUUACUUGAACAGGAUCUGUUCUAUAGGAUCGUACCGCUGCAUCCUUGACUAAUAAGGAGGCAAGCACUUAAGCUUGGUUGAUGACACAUGACUUGUGGGUCAGAGCGUGAUUAACGGUUAGGAUUGGAGCUGAGAUGCCUGAUCUGUGGCUGUAGAGGAUCGUUCCUGGUCAGACUUGGCUUGGCUGGGGUGGCUCACAGGUUGUCUGACAGGCUCACAUUUUUUUUCUCCUCUUUUGAAUCUGUUUUGCUAGGUAGACUUGGCAACUGGCAUGUGUAUGCUCAUCGAUAAAUACCACGAUUACUGCACAUAAGAAAGCACAUCGCUGCAUUUUUCCUAACGACACGUAUAUUGCCCUGAAAAUUCCACUACUUUGCUCCUCUUCUGAAUCUAUUUAGCAAGUUAGUGAUUAGUGAUUGUGUGGCAACUGGCAUGUGUAUGCGCAUCGAUAAUAAAUACCAUGAUUACUGCACAUAAGAAAGCACCUCGCUGCAUUUUGCUAAUGACACGUAUUUUGCCCUGAAAAUUCCAGUACUAUCCCAGUGGCCAGUGGCGCGCCCAGUGCCCAGCUUAACUAGAGGCUUCAUCGGCGGACACCUAACUGAACACUCAGACACAGCUUAUCCAUCCACUUAGCCGCAGACUGUUCCUGAAACUGAAAGCCUCCUUCCUGACGCCUUUUGCGAUGAAAUGAGUGUUGUAUGGCCGGUGUGGCGGUGCUGCAGCGGGGACAGAGCCUGAUGGAGCCAUAUGUCUCGCUGCAACUACAAGCAGAGCUAGGCUUUCGGUGUGGUACCCCAGCACCAGCACCAGCACGUAUCUAAUCAUCCCCCGAUGGAUCGGAUCCUUUUCGUGAUCUAUCUCUACUAGUCCCAAAAGCCGCCGUGUGCACAUGGCAAGGAUGGCACAAAGCCCCGGGCCAACUCGCCGUGUCUCCUGCUGGAGGAUUCCUCUGACACCGGCCAUGGCUUGGCUCCACACACACACAGAUCCUUUGCAAGUCUCAAACCCAAUUGCGUGCAAGAUGCAGCGCGCUCGCCUCUGAAAACAAGACUGGAGGCAGUAGGAUCUUAUGAGCAGCCCUUUGACUAUCUGAGAUGAAUGAUUGAGUCCGGUUGAAUUCACAGUUCUUCAGACCUGCAGCUUCAGCAGCAGCUAAUAGUAACGUGAUCACUCGCUGAAGUCCUGCCAAUGCUCGCAUGGCCAUGGCCUACAUGGUUGGUAGAUGCGCGUGUUAGUUUGCACCCUCAGACGACGAGACGACAGACUCCUCCAUGUUCUGUCUUGUGUCCUCCAAGUCCCAAUGUCGCAGGAAAAUGGCGGCAACACGGUUCAGGUCAAGGAGCAAUUGGCGGCCAAGGAAGCAAACCUCACUCUCUCGCUCUUCUGACUUUUUCCUUUCAUUCACGUACAGUACAGCUCUGAACGUUGCGCCGCAAAUCUUGGAGCUGCUCGAAUACACAGCGAUGUGUUGCUUCUCCUUUUGUCAACCGGCACUUAUGAUCCAGCUCCACAGAAACGCACGGAUUCGAAAUUUCGAAUCAAACAUGAUCGCACCAAGCAUCAUGCAUUCGACUAUAUUCGAGUUCGACGAGGAAUGAUUGAUGUCGAAACCUCCAACAACUGCCCUACAAAAAUUGCACGAAAACCACCUAGUACGUAGUAGUAGUAGCUAGUAGCUAGCUCGCUCUAGUCGAACUUGACCACUCAUUCAGUGUAGGCCGGAUCAGAGAGUCUGUUCAUUUGAGUUUUGAUCGAAUCUAUCAAUUAUUUAUUAUUAGUUUUUUUCUCUCAGAAUUAAUCAGCGAAUAUUACUUUUAACCAUAGCUUUUCACACAAGCGAACAAACUCUCUAGUACAAUAAAAGGAGAUGGCCAGCAGCUGGACAGCGGUCAUUAUAUUAGAAACUGGUCUCAGAUGUUCAUAUCGUCCACGCUAUGGCUGGUCCCUAAUACUAAGGCUUUGCAGUAUGCACCAGCAUGGUCUCCACCUCCAGUCAUCCACUGCAUUUGCCGGCGACGACGGGCAAUGCUGCACCUUCAAGGGAGAGAGCAUGCAGCUGACGUAAUGGGAGCGUCAGCGUGGAAGAACGAACGACGAAUGCACUCACGAACACUGCAAUCAUGCAAUGCAAUCUAGAGAAGACUCCAACUACAGCUUGCAAUUAGGCAAAUCAGCUAGAAAAAGUAUAUUCAAAAAACCAGAAAAAAGAAAAAAAAGGAAAAAAAGAAAUGGUAGUAUAUACUAGUAUAAAAAGGCGGAGGUCAAAAGGGGUUUGACCCGUGCACCCAGGCAGUGAAUGCGAUAGACACUGGCCUGCCUGAGCCUGACAGGCCCAUCCGGUUCGGCCCAUCUUACCUAACACAGCCACGAUGCGCCUCGUGGGCCCCGGAGGUCAGUGACGGACGGACGAGGAGAAUCUGUGGGCCUCGAGUCUGAGGUGGCGUCAGAGCCCACCUGAAACCCGAUGCACUGUUGGCAUGUGCAGCUUGGGGUCCAUGAGUGUUGACCGCCAUGUCGAUCCGUGUUUUUUUUCCCUCUCGCCCAGAUGGAGAGAGGUUUAAUUUUCAGCCGGUUCACACUCGCAACGUCAGUCAGUAACGAGUAAAGCAGGCAGCGAAACGGAUUUGGCAACCACGAAAAACAAGAGCCAUUAAAGAAAUACAUCUUCUUUAUAUGACCUUUUUUUAUUUUAAACUUAUUUGUAUGGUCUUAAAAUAAAAUUUUCUUCCUUUUAUGACCUUCUAUCUAUUUUUUACACCUAACGGUGUUAAGAGUAAAAUAACCAUUUUGCCCCUAGCAAAAAAUGCAGAGUUUUAUUUGUCUACUAUAUAUUUGUAGUAAUAUUGUGCAAAUAAAUUUGAAAAUGUACAUGUAAGUUUAUAGUAAAAUUACACAAAUAUGUUUUAAAAUGUACAAGUUUGUAGUAUUAUUACGCAAAUAAGUUUUAAAAUAUACUCGAGACAAACAAAACUCUGCAUUUUUUUGUUAUGAGUAAAGUGGUUGUUUUACCAUUGACUUAACACCGUCAAGUGCUAGAAAUGGAUGGAAGGCCAUUCAAGAAAGAAAAUUUCGUUUUGGAGCCAUAUAAGUAAGUUCAAAAUAAAAAAAAGUUAUAUAAGGAAGAUGCAUUUUUUCUAGAGUGUAAAUAUCUCGAAAAACAAUGUAACCACAGAGAAACAGAAGGAACUGAAAAGCGGCAGAGAGUAACCACAGCCAUACGUACUCUUGCUAGAUUAUUUUUCGGUUACACGAGCAGUAUCUGUCCCCCUUUUUUUCUUUUGCAGUUUGGCAUGCAUGUGUUGUCGUUUAAGUACGUAGUACGAGCGUGCGAUAUCGAUGUGCUGUAGAGGUAUCACACACAGGCUGGAUUGUGUGGAUCAUGGGUUGACUAGCUAGUACAGUAAUAUUAAAAAGCAGGGACUCUUGUACCAUGAAGCCAAGGCAUAUUCGCAUUCCGCAGUGUAUUCAAAUAGCAGAGACUCUUGUUCCCAAUUGCGUUCCAAGUGGGUGUUAUUAGUAAUAAGAGUGUUAACAACGUUCUACUAACAAGUAUAAGCGGCAGCACACACGCAUGUGAGUAGAUUCUGAAACGCUGUGCGGUUGACCUCUUGGUUGGACGGACGGAUCACGCACGCACCUAACCUGCUGCCCCCUGGAUCACUCUGGAUUGCAUGUUAGGCCGGUAAACACAUGCACAUCCACACUCAUCAGACAGACACACACACUCGCUCUCGUCGCACUGUCAUCAUUCGCUGAAUCAUCUGUUUAUUUAUUAUAUGAAAUCCCUUUGGCUUUUAUUUAUGCGCUGACAACGCGAGACGACGGCGACGCCGACAAGCGACGCAACGCAACCACCGCUAGGGUCCAGGGCGGAGGCCAAGCUUAGGUAGCCCGGCAGCUGUCGGACGGGGGAUCAACGCACGCAGACAACGCCACAGCCUACUACGAGGCGAGCAAAAGUCAGAGCACGCUUUGACCCAUUGCGACCCCGGUACAGGCAGACAACUGUUAGAAAAAAUAAUAAUGCCCCGAACCACAAUCACCAGGUCGUCGCCCCGGCCCGUGCCGUGUCAACGCCCAGCCUAACCGCGGCAAAAGCAGGUCGCACCCCCGCAUCGCGCGACGCGUCGUCCGACCCGCGCGCCGCCCCCGUCGCGUAGCUAGCAGCUAAGCUAGCACGAUCGGUCGGGAUUCCGGUGCUCGCCAGAGCCAGCCGCCACGUAAGUCAAACACGGCCGUCCGAUCCGAUCCGUCCGUUCCGUCCUAAUCAAACCCCUGCGAGACGCGACGCGCGAUGCGAUGCCAUCGGCCACGGGUCAACGUCGCCGAUCGACAUCGCUGUUGGGCUCAGCGUCGUCGUCGUCGAUCGUCUCGGUUCGGUGCACCGUGCGUGCACGUGUUACACAGCACGGUGCGGGGCGGAACGAGCUCUCGAUCGUCGUGUGGCCGCCGUGCUAGCUGCCACAAGUGCCGCGCGCACUAGCGAGGUGCUCGUACGGUGAACCCAGCUGACUGCCGCGGUGCCGCCCGUGGGCGCGCCGGCCGUGCGCAUGCAUGCGUGGGCCGGAACACGUCCGCGCCUCGCCGCCGUGCGUGCGUGUUCCGCACCGCUAGCGCCACCAACCGCGCGACGAUGUAGCCGGGCGGGCCUGAAUUGUUCUCUCUCCGGCCCGCACGGCGCGUCGAGUCGGAUCGGAUCGGAUAUUCGGAUGGGUUUUUGCGUCGUCGAUGGAGGUGCCCUCGGCGGCACGGCAGGGCAGGGCGCGCGGACGCGUUGCCGUCCACGGCGACGACUCCACCACCACCGAGUUGUGUGUUUUUCCGGUGAACGCACCGUGUGGCUUCGUUCUGAGCACGACCGCCGAGUGCAGGACAUGUUGGUGUCAUGGUGUGUGUAUAGGAGUAGAAUGUUAGUGGUUCAGAUGACAGACGUGGAGAGAAAUUACAGCCGACGAAUGAAGGAAGAUAGCACUUUGAAAUUACAAUGUUAGUAUAGUCUGCUUAGUAGAUGGAGAGAGGUAGUAAUUGAUUGCACGCGAUCGAUUGAUAAGCACAAUGAGGCAGGCUGCUGAUUAUUACGCGAUCCGGCCGAUCCAUGCAGGUGCAUGCGUGCAGUGCAGGCUAAUAAUAAUGUAAUCCGGCCACCACCAGCCCACUGCGGCGCUACUAGGCCAUUUUCCCCGUGAGGCCGUGACGAAAGGUGGUCGUCCCCAGGCAGGUUCUCUACCUCUCUCUCUGCCAAGACAAUGCAAGCUGAGAAGAAUUGUUUGCUGAAGCAGGCAGGAGGCAGCAGCAUAAGUAAAAGCUUACUAUGCACUGUAUUAUACUAGUGCAAGUAGCACACGCAGGUCAUCAUGAUGUCCGAUCCAUCCCUGAUUAGUGCAAAUUAGAAUCAAUCAGGAUUCGAUUCAGGCGUGUGUAGUCUGCGUGCUUGCUGGCAGCAAAUGAGUACAGGUUUGACCCCUCCGAUCCCCACCCGGACCAACGACGAUUAUCUUCUCUCUCUCUCUCUCUCUCUCUCUCUCUCUCGAUGGUCAAAGCUUUGUCGAGACGUGGCAGCGACGUUAGGACAAGAGAGAGAGAGAGAGAGAGAGAGCAGCAGCAGUAGCGGUAUGCAAUGCAGUAUUGCAGUGAGACGAGUAGGGCAGAGAGAGCAUGCACAUCACAGCGCAGGAGGACGGACGGUGUCCCUGUCCAGGCUUUUGACUCGGCCUCCGAUCGACUACACGGCCUACUCGAGUCGAUCCUACUGGGAGUGGAGGAGUGAUCGCGUGUGUGGUGUGGAAGAACGAAGGCCAGGCCGGGAUGGGAGAGACCUCUCAUCCAUCAGUGGGCGGCCGCCUUUUUCCGGGCACGCGUGCCAGGCCCCGGGCCCUCAUCACCUCCCUUUUGACGUGACGCGCCUCUUCGCGUUCGCCGUCGCUCUCCGUCGUCGUCGUCGUCGUCUCCGCCCUGCUCAUAAGCAUGACGUCAACGGGUCUAACUUCGUCCCCUGCUUGCCGUCGUCUUGCCCAGCUUCAUCCCUCGAUCGGCUUCCGCCGCCGCCGCAUGCAGUCGAGAAGGUCACGGGUCGUCGCCCCGCGCGCCUAGGCGUGUAGGCCGGCCGCCGUCUCGCGAUUCGUAGCAGAUCUCUUGGCAGGCACGCUAGCUAGCUGCCGUCGCCAGCCCAAGGCAAUGUACGUACUCGCCGUGUCGACACGACACGAGCAGCUUCGAUCGGCUGCCGCUACGUACGUGCUAGCGCGCGCGUAUUUCCGCUAGUUUCCACUUUUAUUAAUUAAUUUACCUGUGACUAUAUAAUUAUCCCGCUGUUGAUGGCCAUGAUGCUGCACGCUGCAGAUUUAGUUCGCUAGGCCAGGCGUAUCUGGCAGCUGCUGGACGUUUUUUUCGACGGCCAAAGAAAACGAUCGAGAGGAAUACAGAAUACGUACAGAUAUACGGUGGCUGCAUGCAGGUCCAUCGCGUCGCCUGGACUGGGGAUCGCAAAGGGAAUAUAGGUAGACGGAGAAAAUUCCAAAAAGAAAAGGGCAGAUCGGAUCAUAACAUAACAGCCAUGCCAAAGCCAAAUCAUGGGGGUGCCUAACGCGAUUUCUUUCUUUCAGCCCUCAUCGGUACGUUCUUCCAUCACAUCAACUUUACCAAACGAUGCCGAUAUAUUUGUGUCCCUAACAUAACUAUAUCUAAUUUUUUUUUUCGAGAUCAGGCCAAGCAGCUCCAAAACCCUCACACAUCUGUCAUGCAUUUUUAACGUCUGUUUCAGGUAAAAUUGCUAAUCGAUCAGAUCGAUAACAAUAAUAAUAUUACGCCGAAAGCCUCUGACUUUUCGAAUUAAAUCCAUCUCCCCGUACAUGUAUACGCAUGCAUGCUCCCUGCCUCCUUACCUUAUACUAUGAGUCUUAUAAAAACAAACCAAACUGUGAACCAUGCAUCAUUGUGUGUUCAUUCUGCCACGUACGCUCAAAUACAUAAUCAUUAAUUUAGCUACAGCAAACAUCAUGCUAUUUUUUUUUUUACAAAAACAUCAUGCUACAAUGACAGGCGUGCUAUAAAAUACGAUUUGGUCUGUGCAGCCCAUGGGCACCUGCGUAAUUUCACAUGUCACGAUAGCGAUGCCGACUUCAGCUUCUUGUGGUCGGAAAUUUUUAACAGUAAAAUAAAGGUGAUGUCGAGGAUUUAAAACGAUUAUCGCUGAGAAAGUAAUGCCCUAGCAGCUAGGGUUAUACAUAGAAAAAUCAGCCGGGGAGGAAGAAUAUUGCACACGCACAGACGCAAACAAGACUUCUGUGUGUACAAGAAUUAGGUGCAGCAGCAGCAGCAGCGCUGCUGUGAGCUGCUAACUCUAGUUCAGUACUAGCCCUUUUUGGUUAGGUAGUGAAUGAAAUCAUCAAACAUUCCAUCUUAUUGGUGUAAUUUAUUUGCUUACGUUGCUAUCACCCAAGACUAGCUAGCUAGCUUUAUUUCGGAUCGGAGGUCAAAGGCAUGCAUGCCUUUGAGAUUACUUAGAACUUAUUCGACAGUAUUGUAUUCUUUUGUAUUUGUUUUUUUAAAUUAAAAAGAAAGCUAUUAUACAUGCAUUAUUUAUUAUACUGAUUCGACGCAACAUCUAUGUCCUGAUUCUUAUGUGUGAAAAACAUGGGAGCAUAACUCAAUUGCUCAUCAAGACCUGUUCCUCUCUAUAUAUCCAGUUCCAAUAUAAAUGGGACAAUCUUCAACAGAAAAAUGUAAUUGGUCACUAAAAAGAUGCGCUGACUGGAGCAUGCUGCAUGCAGGAGAACGGACAUAAAAAAUAUGGGAUAGGGAAUUUAUAGCCAGAGAUGUGUGAUAUGUCUUGAACAGUGACAUGGAAUAUUUUGUCUAAGCGUAUUUGUUCUGCUGGCGACAAUAUAUAGGCAUACAUAUUAUGUCGUAGCAUUUCAAUGAUAAAAAGAAUAUAAAAAGGAAGACUGUGCUCUGAUCCCCUAUCUUGGUAUAUUACAAGUUAAAUAUGCUCACCCCGGCUAAAUUUGCACCGUGUAUAAUACAUAGUGAUAUGCCUACGAUUCAGUCUCUGAAAGGUAAAUUUUAAUAUGCUUAGAUAUAGCAUUUGUACAAAUAUUAUUUUUGAUGUGGUGAAUUUCCCAAAACAUCAUGUUUUGAAACCAUGCUUCGCUUUGUACCAUGUUCAAAGAGAUGAUGGUGAACUUAUGGCACCAAGUUCCAGUUCAAGAAUUCCCGUUUUGCACUGAGUAGCUAAAGCAUUAUAUUGCACUCUGCAUUAUACACCACAUUGCAGUCUUGAUGCAAAUCGUUUGAGAAUGCAUAGACCUGAGCAAAUAUGUGGUCAGCCCUGGCCAAACGGACUAAAAGUGCGCCUCAUGUUCUUAUAGGGCUAGACUUAAGGAGCACAGUCUCACCCAGUCAGGGCUCGACCCGAGAACGCCCGACGCUUUCCUAUUAACGGUAGCCCCAAUCCACAUAUUAUUUUGGUUCAAUCCGGUCUGCAAAUACUUAGGUCUAAACGUCCCAUAAGGUUGACACAAGUGUACAACAUGGUAGUGGCGGUGGAGGAGGAUGAGGAGGUUGGGUUUCUCAAAUGGUAGUCGUAAAAGGUAUAUAAUUUGUAGAUAAAACAUUUAUGUAUCAAUUUGAUGUAUUUGACUAAACAUCAUGAACAAAGGUAACCAUAUAUCAUGCUUUAUUUUACAUUUUGAAGUGAAAGAUUAAUCCUCAUCAUCACCGUUAUAUUUAUUUCAUGACAUAGAUCAAAUUUCUUGAAAUAUCAAGCUCACUUGUCAUAGUAAACCACAUGUAUGGACGUAUGGUUGACAUACGGUCCAAAGCUGGACCACUUUUGUCCUAGUGAGUGCUAGAAGUUGGUGUAAAGUGACAACUCUUGGCUAAAACCUAGUGCAAAGUGCAACAAAAAUGCUUAUAUAAAGUGAAAUAUCACCAUUUGCUUUCAAAACAUUUUCUUUGCAAAUCACUUUUUCAUUUUAUCUUAUGCGACAUAUGCAGCCAAAGCAUACGUGGACAUCAAAAGCCCUAGAGUGUGUGUUUGAUAAGGAUUCAAUUUCUUGAAGAAAAUGAUUUUGAUUCUUUGUUAAAUUUGGCUUUUCCAAUUUCUAGUUCCCCGAUCCGUUGAAUCCAAAAAAUAUUGAUGGUUCCGAAUAUAAAUCACAUAAUCGUUUGACAAUGAUUCUCUUCUCCCUUGUAGCAAUUUUCAUUGGUAGGGAUUCUACUGUUUGGAGAGAAACACUUUGGAAAAUCCCUAUCGAACACACCGUAUCUAUUGUAGUGGAGUGUUUCAAGAUUAUAUAACACUUGGCUUUCCAACCCAUGAUGGUGAUUCUAGGAUUAUAAUGCAUCUUCUAUCUCCAACCAUUUAAUUUCUACCGUUACUAUUGUAUAUAUGGCAGCAAACUUAAGCAUGGAUGACACCCAUCACGUCGACCUUCCUUGUCCCUUGCAACUCUCCAUCGCUAGUUCAUCACUCUAACCAGCUUUUAGGGCUAUCGCUAUGACACCCUAGUCAUGACAUCAAUACACCUCCCAAUUGGUCUCCUCCACCUUUUUGCACUCAUCAAUGAUCAUUGUCGCCUCAUCGCUCCAUCCUGCACCUGCCACCUCCUUUGCCAGAUCGGAUUGUCGCCAAUGGUCCUCUCUUUAAUGUCAUAGUGUCAGUGAAAAUCCCACUCCUUAAAUUAACCCCUAAACCCCUAACCUCACCAAAGUGUGGAGGAAGAUGACCAUAACUCGAGAAAAAGGACGUCUAUGGUUGAAAUCUGAUCUAACAUCAAAAAAUUUCUAGUGUUGAGGAAUCUCAAAUCAAUUGGUUGUUGUAUACUUUUUUCUUGACCCAUUUUAUCUUUUUUUUCACAGAUGAACCAUAAUCCUAAGAGCAACUUUUAGAGCCUCUCAAAAUUUCAACCUUUAUAUCUCUAUUUGAAUAGUCAUUUCAUGAAUAUUCUUUGUAUAUAUCUAUCGUGCUUCCAACAGUCUCUUUAAGUUUUAUUCUCUAUAUUCCAAUGGCUUACCCUAAAUUUUCUUCUGUGAAAAUAUUCAUAAGAGAACGACCACAUAUUGAAUUUAGAGGGUUAUCUAGCCUCUCCAUAAUAGAGAGCGAGAAGGGGGUUUUGAAGAACAGAAAAAACAGUGAGUGGUUUAAAAGUCUAUUGGAGCAUAAUUUUUUGAUCUGUUUUCUAAAGUUUUGUGAUAAAAAAUCCACGUAAAAAACCUCUUGGAGAUGCUCUAAGAAGUUACUACAAGACAAACAAAGUAAUACUACGUACCAGCUGCUAAACUAAUUGAUUGUUGUUCAAGUACUGAGAGUGAGAGUCUCAAACCAAUUGGUUCUUGUUUAGUUGUUUUUGACCCGGUUUAUCUUUUAUUUUUAUGAGAUGAACCCUAAUCCUAAGAAGUUACUACGAGACAAAACGAAGUAACACUACACUACCCACUAAACUAAAGCUAAGAAUAAUAAAGUUGCAUUUUUUUCAUUUGUAUGCAGAGAGAAGCAGUAGCAGUAGUACUACUACACUUAGGGUCGUUGAACUACCGACUGAUCAUGAUCAGUUGCACCAGAAUUAUCUGACGCAAUGCCGGAAGACCGCCUAACGACUCCAGCCGGUUAAGCUCAGCUGCAGCAGCUCCGGUCAGAAAGCCAGCCGAAAUUCUCCCCUCCGAUCCCCUUCCUUUCCAAAACGGUUUAUAUAUACACGACCCACACAUCCCCAUCCUUACCACUACUCAUCAGCUUGCUCAGCUUUCAGCUUUCCCCUCCCUCUGCAAGCUUGCCCAACCCAAUAAGCUAAGCAAGCACUCACCACACACUCUCUAGUAGCUAGCCAAGCUAGCCGCCCCUCGCACGCGUGCGCGCGCACCAGCGCAUAUCUAUCAUCAGCUAGCCAAGAAACGGAGGAGCAGAUCGAUCGGCCGACAUGGGGGAUCAUGCUGAGAUGUUGCAUGCCGCUCCGGCCAUGUACAACGGCGUCGGCGCCGGUGCUGCUGCCCCUCAUGGCGGGUGGUGGAAUACUACGGCGGUGCCCGCGACGACGUGCUCGACGGAGCUGGCCGGGUUCACGACGUGGUCGUCCGCCCUGGCUGCUAGCUACGACCUGGCGGCCGAGGGGGGAAAGGCCAAGUGCGCGGCCACCACUGCCUCGUCGGAGUCGCCCGGGAACAACAGCUCCGUGACCUUCCAAGAACCGGCAAGCGUCACGGAUCCUGCUGGCGUCGGAACCGCCGUGGUGCAGCAGCCUCUUGCUGGUUACACUGACUGGACCCAUCCGUAUAUGUAAGUCUGGUUAUAUUAUGAUUCUCAUAGAAUAUAGGCUCGAUUGGCCAGAAAAUCAUUUAUAUGAUGAUGCAGAAAUACUCUAUCACCUGGCUCUGAAAUCUAUGUAUAUAUGUGUUCGAACACAGGAGCAGUGGUGCUACUACUUUGCAUGGGUUUCUGCAAGAUGGUCACCAGCAGGACAUGAGCUCAACAACUGAGCAAAGCGCCAUGACGGCAUCAAGCCUGAUGAACCCUUCAUCCAAUAACCUAGCCCUGGCCCUGCAAGGUCACCAUCACCAAGAGCAGGACCACCAGCAGCAGAUGCUGUCCAGCUUCGGAUCCGAGCUGCUCUUGUCGCCGACCUCGCCCUACGGGUUCCAGUCAUCCCUGCUAAGAAGCCUCAUGGAGCCGACAGCAACGGCGGCGGCGAAGCCGCAGGCUUUGCCGGGGUACCAGCAGUAUGAUCAGUACCAGCAGAUGGGCAUGGGCCAGGCGAGGUUUCCACCGGCCGGAGCUACCAGGGAGGCACUUCAGUUCACCAACGACGCGCCGUUCUGGAACCCUUCUGCUGCUGGGUUCGGCGUGGCGCCGGCGCCGGCGCCUGACCAAGCUAGCAGCGUUCGUUCUGUCAAACCAUCGCCGACGGCUGCGCGUACUACAGCAACCCUUGCAUUAAAGGUAGGUAGAAAUAUAUACAUCUAAGAACUAUACUAAGAUGCAAACAUUUACUUGAAGACAACGGCAACAUUUGCUAGCUAGACCUAGACCUAAUAAGUAACCUUGGCGUGGUUAUGUCUGUGUAGACUGCGUUGGAAGGAGUAGGAGAGUCUGCUAGCUCAAUCAUCACCAAGAAGAAGGCGAACGGCGAGCCGGCCUUCAAGAAAUCGAGGCUCGAGACGCCGUCGCCGUUGCCAACGUUCAAGGUACGUAGUUGGUUUUCUUAAACAAACUUCACCUCAUUAGAUAUUAUAUUAUCAUUUGACGUUGCUGUAUAUCUAUAGAUCAUGAUUGAAAUUAAACCCCAUGCAUAUAUGAAUCUUAGAUAACUGAAGUUGGGCAUGUUCGUGCAAUGCAUUAAUUUCUGCAGGUUAGGAAGGAGAAGCUAGGGGACAGGGUCACUGCACUCCAACAACUAGUCGCCCCUUUUGGAAAGGUGAGGGAGGCUAGCUUUUGAUGAAUCUAUAUUACAAACAAAGCUAGUGCUUGGAACUAUGUAGUACUGCCAACAUCUAACAUCUUCCGUCUCUGCAAAAGACAUGUUCCUUUUCUCCUCCUUUGGAGAUCUAACCUCAAAUCUAUAAGCACAAUCUCUGAAAUACCUGAUUAUCUCUCGAUGCGCGUGCAGACGGAUACGGCAUCGGUGCUCCAUGAGACCAUCGAGUACAUCAAGUUCCUCCACGACCAAGUUGGUGUAAGUGUGUGUGCGCGAGUACUACCAUGAUUCCCCACCUUUAAUCAUAGCACAUCUGAAGCCUGAAGCACCGGCUAUAGCACGUUUUCUACACACGAAUCAUCAGAAGGGGACUGAUCGAUCGAAGGCAUUGACAUUGUGUUGUUUGCGCCUUGUUUCUCUGCAGGUCCUUAGUGCUCCAUACUUGAAGAACAACGGCCAUCAUCAAGUGCCCCACUUGAAGGUAGGUGCCAGUACCAGUGUCCACUGUGUAAGUGUGCAUGCUAGCUGCAUGCACGCUUGCUCUCCUUUUCAUUGUGAUGGAUCAUGGUACUUGCUGAACUGUUCAAGGGUGCUGAUGGCUUUAUAUGCGUGCGUGCGUGCGUGCCUUUGGUUUCAGAGCUCAAGUCCUGACAAGUCCAACAAGGACGACAACAGCCAUGCCGGCGAGGUAUCGCUCAAGGGCCGGGGGUUGUGCCUGGUCCCGAUAUCGAGCACGUUCGCGGUAGCCAGCGAGGUGCCCGUCGACUUCGUGUGGAGUACUCCAUUUGCUGCCAACUUUAGGUAGACGAAGAAGCCUCCAAAGCUCUGAUCAGAGUCGUCGAACGAGCAACUAGCUAGCUACCUGCAGCCUACCACAGAUCGAUCGACCUGGCCUGAUGAUAUAUAUAUAUAUAUAUAUAUCCAUGCAUGUUUCUUAGUCUAGUCCUAGCAGUGUAUGGUCAUGGUUCGUUAUCUCUCGUAACUGUAGUAGUACUAAGCAUGCAGCAGCUCUGGCAACGAAAAAGGAUUGCAGACUGAGCUUGCUAGCUAGAUGAACCUUUGGAAUGAGUCCUUGAAGACUUGGAUUCAUUCUCCAGGUUCAUCUAUCUAUCCAUCCGAUCCAUCAGGGAAUAAGGGAUCAGCUAAUAUAUUUUGAGAGAGGACACAACAAGUCUCUACUGAUCGUCAUCAGCUUCUAAUUAUGAUUGGUUGUUAGGUUGCAUCAUUGGGUAGUUGUACGUGGAAGGAUUUGUUAAAGAUGUGUAAUGGUUUCUAGAGUUUAAACUAGUGACAGACGGAAUGGAUCAAAGUGUGUAGCAGGUUUCUAUUGAUUGUACUACCAAAUAAAAAGUGGCAUCUCUUUGAUUGAUCGGAGCACGCUUUUGGAUAGCUUCUCUUUUGAAUCUAAACCACACACAUAUAUUUUGAUACUGUAAGUAUCAGCUUCAAAGAAUUUGUGCAGAUGUGCCUUUUGAGGUUAAAUUAUUCCAAUGCCGUAGUGGAUAUCAGCGCAUGCUUAACUUUUGAAUAAUAGCCAAUAUUCUGCUGCAUUUUUAUAUCAUGAUGUGGACACGUACUACACAAAUGCAUAUUAUAUUAAUUGAUGUAAGAGUAUACGUCUUCUAAUGCACAAGUUUGCUCUUGGUCUUAUAGUAUAUCACAUCUCUAUAUACUAAGUAAGCUAAUACCGAUUAUCAGUUUUCUAAUAAAAUGGUAAUGCUACCCAAGCAAAUAGUAGUAGUUCCCUUCAUUCCGGUAUGGAGAACUAACUCAUCAGGAAAGCUUGCAUGUAAUAAUCUCCACAAAACAACUCCUUUAUCUUCUAAGUUUCAUAAAAACAAUCUAGUUUUGCAUAUGUGAUCAUAUCAUAUACUCCCUCCGUUCCAAACUAAGUGUCAUUCUCAUUUCAUGAAGAGUCAAACAUCUUUAACUUUAACUAAUAAAUAUAUGCAAGAAAAUAUUAAUAUUUAUAAUUAGUAUCAGUAGAGGCUGUUGAAUCUAUUUUUAUAAUAAACUUAUUUAAAGAUAUAAAUAUUGCUAGUAAUUUUUUCCUACUAAUCUAGUCAAAUUUAAAAAGUUUGACCUGCACAAAUACCAUAAAGACACUUAUUUUGAGACAGAGAGAAUAACAAAUAACUUUAGCAAAAGAAUAAUUUAUUACCUUCUUAAUGAAAUACUAGCUAGUUCGGUAGUUCCUCCUAGGCUGGUCCACAUCGUGAAAGGACAUGUAGCUUAGGUCUUGAGUUUUCAGUGAUAAGCGGUGUUUUUGUCGACAACAAGGCGAGUGGUAAUUUUGUCUAGAGGUAAGGUUUACGUGUGUGCGCUUAUAGGGGUGAGUGUGCGUAUGUUUAAAGUUAGCAACACCAAAUUUGUAUGUGUUGACGUGUGUAAAGAUGUAGUAGUGCAUUGUAUCUUUAACUGAAUUUGAAGUUUGAAGAAAAUGAACUGACUUGUCACUUUUGAGACUUUAGAUUGUUUUCACUUGCAUGAAACUUGAAAGAUACAUGUACGAACAUGCGGUUUGACCGUUUGACGCUUGAGCUAGUGAAAUGGUAAACCCAAUACGGUGAACUCAGAAUGCAAUCAUAUGCAAGAACAGCUCAACUCCACCUAGUCUUGCAGGAGACCGAAGUACAAUUCAGCACUUCGUUUUCUUAGUUCUUCCACGGCAUGGUCAACACCUACAAGACAAGACUGUUGAAAUGGAAAAUUUCUUUGAGACCAUCUUUUGAAAAAGAAUUUCUGAUCAAAUGGGGCACCAACCAAACCAAUUAGGAAAUCGUGAGCAACACUAAGAUCUCAAUGUUUUCAUAACAGGCUAAAAUUAAAUAAGCUACGAACUAUGCAAACGAACCAGUGAUUCAGCUAGUUACAAGGUGUUUUCAUAGUAUUAGGUCUUGUUUGGAUAUUAUCGGAUUCAUCUCAAUUCAUAUCUGUUAGGGUGGAUUGGUGUGAAAUUUAGUUUAAGUUCUACUUUAAUCCACCCUACACAUGUGGAUCGUUGUGAAUCCGAUUACAUCCAAACCUAGUUUGAUACUACUUAUGGAAUGGAAAAUAUUUUCUAAAUGGAUCGGAGAAAGAUGCAGCGUCAUUGUGAAAACUUAAAACUUGAACGUGGUUCUGAAAUUUCAGUGGUGUCUUUGCCUGUGUUAGGCUAAUUUCUGAAGAUAGGGGAAUGAAUUCUGCUGUCACAGGUCAAGGUCAAAUGGAAUAACUUCUAAUUAACUACUUAAAAACGAGAAGAUUUCACAUUCUCUCUGACUUGAAACGUUUAGGCUCAAAAAUAGAUCAUUUCAAAAAAUUCUGUAUAUGAAGUUAGGGGCUGUUAGCAGCCAGCACCUUUAUGAUGAUGAUAGGAAGUGCAGGAAUUGGGCUAGCGUCGUCACGAGCAAGAAGGCCCAGAAGCUUAGAAGAGCUAACCCGUUUGUAUCCGUCACAGCAUCGUUGUCAAGGGCGUCAAGCCCCCGACGUGCAGGGCCUCGGCUACGGAGCUCGUAGCCGUCGGCCGUCUUCUCCGAUGAGGUUAUGUCCCUCUACCGCAGGCUUAGGGUUUAGAGAAGAGAUAGGAUAAUAAUCUUUGCUUGCCUCCAAUGUUCACGGUUACAGAAUAUAUAAGGCCUUAGCCCAAACUAAUAGGGGUAACAAAUCCCCUUAAAACCAGGAAUAGAUAAUAGCAAAUAGAAACUAGAAAUAUCUUUCCUAAUCUUAUUCACCUAGGGCAUCACGCCCAGGCUCGCGCUCCACGCGUUCACGCGCGCGACGAACGUCCCCCCCCCCGUCGAGGUUCAGCUCGUCCUCGAGCUGGAAGGUAGGGUGCUUGACGAGGAAUGUGUCGACGUCUUCCCAUGUGGACGAGGCUGCAGACUCGCCUUUCCACUUGAUCAGCACCUGACGGAUGCCUCUGGCCAGGCGAUAGCGCACCGCGCGCUCUGGUUCAGGUGCAAUGGCGCCAUGGUGCACCUGCGGUAGAGGCGGAGGUGCUGUCGGAGGUGGCCCUUGGAACUUCUUGAGCAGGCCGACAUGAAAAACAUCGUGAAGGCGCGCGUUGGGCGGCAGGGCGAGGCGAACAGCGACCUCGUUGAUGAGCUCCACGACUUGGUAGGGCCCAUAGAAGCGCGGCUUAAGCUUGCCCUUCGUUCGCUGCUGCAGGGAGGAGGCCGCACGCUGGCGAAGGCGCAGAAGGGCCCAGUCGCCCACCUCAUAGGUCACUGGACGAUGACCAGCGUCGUAGAAGCGCUUCUGGACCGCCUGGGCCUAUUCAAGGCGGUAGCGGAUGUCGGCGAGGAACUCCUCGCGUUCCUCUAGGGUCUUGUGGCGACAGCAGCAACCCUGGUUUCACCAGGUUCAUAAGACCGGAGCGACGGAGGGUCCCGACCAUACACCACACGAAAGGGGGUGUCGCGGAGCGAAGACUGGUAGGCGGUAUUAAAGACAAACUCCGCCCACGGAAGCCAGCGUAGCCAUUGCCGAGGACGGUCACCUGUGAGACAGCGCAAGUACAUGAUAAUGACUCGGUUAGCAGCUUCAGAUUGGCCGUCCGACUGAGGGUGGAAGGCCGUUGUCAUCUGCAGUUUGGUGCCUGUCAAGCGCAUGAGUUCACGCCAGAACGCCGAGGUGAAAACUGGGUCACGGUCAGACACCAUGGACUGGGGAACGCCGUGGAGGCAAACAAUGUCGGCGAAGAACGCUUCGGCGGCGGACUCCGCAGUGUACGGGUGUGCCAAUGGGACAAAGUGGCAGUACUUGCUGAAACGAUCGACCACCGUCAGGAUUACCGGCUUGCCACGGACGCGGGGUAGAGCCUCGACGAAGUCCAGGGCGAUGUCCGUCCAAAUGCCUUGCGGCACCGGGAGGGGCAGCAGGAGCCCGGCGGGUUGCAGGUGCUCUGAUUUAUACCGUUGGCAGACAACGCAGACUCGAAUAAGCUCCUGCACAACAUGUUUCAUGUUAGGAAAAUGGAAGUCGCGGCGGAGGCGGUGUAAAGUGCGUUGGACACCCUCACGUCCGUCCUCGUGCACUGCCAGCACAAGUUCCUGCAGCAACGGCGAGCCUGGGGGAAUGUACAGGUGGCCGCUGUACUGCACCAUGCCGUCCACCACGGACCAGGGCAUGCUGCGGGCGCCACUGCUGAUGUCUUCCCGAAGAGCGACCAUGGCCGGGUCUCCCGCAUUGGCCUGGCGAAGCCGUGUGAUGAAGUCAAAACGGGGAGCCGAGAGUGCCAGCACCGCGCCUGCUGUCUCCUCUUCUGUAUCACGGCGGGACAGCGCGUCGGCGACCGUGUUUGUCACAUCCGGUUUGUACUCGACGGAGAAAUCGAACCCGAGGAGCUUGCCCACCCAAUGGUGUUGCGGGAUCGUCAAGAGCCUCUGGUCGAGCAGAUAUUUGAAGCUGUAGUGGUCGGUCUUCACAACGAAACGACGCCCCCACAGGUACGGCCGCCAGUGACGUACUGCGUGGACGAGGCCGAUGAGCUCCCGUUCGUAGGCGGCGAGGGCACGGUGGCGUGGUGCGACCGGUCUGGUGAAAAACGCAAUGGGAUGCCCAUCCUGGAUCAGAACAGCUCCAAAGCCAUGGGUCGAUGCGUCACACUCCACUGUAAACGGCUUGGCGAAGUCCGGCAUGGCGAGGACGGGGGCCGAGGUGACCGCGGCCUUGAGAGCGUCGAAGGCGUAGGCCGCGGCGUCGGUCCAGGUGAAACCGUCCUUCUUGAGUAGGGCGGUGAGUGGGGCGGCGACCGCGCCGUAGUUGAGGACGAAUUUGCGGUAGUAGCCGGCAAGGCCGAGGAAGCCGCGCAGUGCGCGGACCGACCGAGGCACAGGCCAGUCGCGAAUGGCCUGCACCUUCUGAAAGCCCUAGUUUGGUUUUGGAUAAUUGAUGAAACCCUAAGUACUAACCUCUAUACUAAGUGUGUGUAGACUUAAUAAGGUUGGUACAUGCCAAGUGAUGGAGCAAGUGAUGAUCAUGGUGAUGAUGGUGAUGAGCACAAGAUGAUCAAGUGCUCAACUUGCAAAACAAGAAAGAGAAAAACAAAACCCUAUGGAGUUCAAGGCAAAGGUAUUGCUUAGGGUUUUGGCUUUGGUGAUCAAGACACCAUAGAGGGUGUGAUCACAUUUAGGAUAGAUAGCCGUACUAUAAAGAGGGGAAUUCUUUGGCUAAGCGGUUAUCAAGUGCCACUAGGUGUCAUUGUUCAUGUGCAUGCAUUUAGAACCUAGUGAGCUAACUUAACUCCUUCAAAGAAAAUGAUUGUGAAAAUGCUAACACACGUGCACGCUCGUUGGUACACACGUUGUGGUGUUGGCACAUUUUGAGAAGGAGGUGGAGUUUCAAGGGUAGAGAGGGGAUGGGUUCCUCUCUCCCUCCCGCCGAGCUUGCGAGGCGGGAUUCGGCGCUUUUUGAGAAAAUGAAGUGCAUAUUUUCUAUUGCGCCGGUGGAAAAUUUGGAGAAGUCGCGGGAGUGUUUCUCGCUGAGAAAACACUCACCGGACGCUGGCCACUGAGGCACCGGACGCUAAGUCUGAGCGUCCGGUGCAGACAGUGCCUAGCCCAGCUAGGGUAAGGCACCGGACGAUAGGCACCGGACGCUGGCUUGAGCGCCCGGUGGUGCGCGUCCGGUGUGCGGGCGUCUUGGCGACCCUCUCUGCGCACGAGUCCGGUGAGCACCGGACGCUCAGGGUGCGUCCGGUGGCUAGCGUCCGGUGUCCCGCAGGUUUGCGGAACUCUCUACGCAUGAGUCCGGUGUGCACCGGACGCGUCCGGUGCUAACUUGCUCAGCGUCCGGUGCACUGCAGGUGACCGUUAGACUCUGACACGCGGCUGACGUUGGAGCACUGGACGCUGGUGCUGAGCGUCCGGUGACCCCGCAGUUUGCCCAGUGAAAGAGCCAACGGCUCUAUUUGUUUGAGGGGUCUAUAAAUACGUGUUUGGCCGGCUUGAGGCUUACUCUCUUGGCAUUCUAACAGACAUAACAUUCUUGUGAGCCUAAGCAAACACCUCCCACUCAUCUCCUUCAUAGAUUAAACAUCUUUGUGAGAUUGGGAGUGAUUCCAAGUGCAUUUGCUUGAGUGAUUGCAUCUAGUGGCACUUGGGGAUCGUUCUAGCUGCGGUUUUCUUGUUACUCUUGGUGGUUGCCGCCACCUAGACGGCUUGGAGCAGCGGAGGAGGAUUGGCACGAGUUGGUGAUUGUUCGUGGCCAUCUCCCGGUGAUUGUGAGGGGUAUUGUACCUUCCCCGGCGGAGAGCCGAAAGGUAACUCUAGUGGAUUGCUCGUGUCAUUGAGUUACCUCACUUGUGGGUAGGUUCUUGUGGUGUCCUAAUGAGGACGAGGUUCGUGCUACACCUCUUAGCCACCGAACCACCAAGUGUUGGUCGACACAACGGGGACGUAGCGUGCCGGCAAGCACGUGAACCUCGGGAGAAAAAUCGGUGUCUCAAUUGUGUUUGAUUGGCAUUCUCCCGGUGUUUGAUUGUUUAUAUUGGAGAUUGGUUCAUCCCCUACACGGCGGUAUAAAUAUCUCAUCUUAUCUUUACUUACCGCAAACUAGUGUAAUUACUUUAGUUGCUUACUUUGACUUGUGUAGCUUAGUUCUCUAGUGUAACUUGUAGAGACUUAGUUCUUGUGUGCAUAGAGAUCUUAGCAACUAGAAUUGUUGGGUAGGUGGCUUGCAAACACCCCUUUAGAGCUAGAGCAAAAAGCUUCGCUUUGUUAUUUACUAACCUUUUGCUCUAGUGAGUUUGUAGAUUUUUUAAAUAGGCUAUUCACCCCCCCCUCUAGCCAUAUUAGGACCUUUCACCUUCGUCGGGUCCAUCGCGACGCCCUCCGCUGAAAUCACAUGGCCCAGGUAGGCUACCGUGGCCUCGCCGAACGCACACUUGCUGCGUUUGAUGAAAAGCCGAUGGCGCCGCAGCUCGAAGAAGACAGCACGCAGGUGGCGAAGGUGAUCGGCCCACGUCUCACUGUAAAUAAGGAUGUCGUCAAAAAAGACAAGCACGAACCGUCGGAGGAACGGCCGGAGAACAUCGUUCAUCAACGCCUGGAAUGUGGCCGGAGCAUUGCAGAGACCGAACGGCAUGACGAGGAACUCAUAGAGUCCAUUGUGGGUCCGGAACGCCGUCUUGUGGACGUCGGCGGGCAGCAUGCGUACUUGGUGAUAUCCGGAUCGCAAGUCGAGCUUGGUGAAGAAGCGGGCGCCAUGCAGCUCGUCCAGCAACUCGUCGACCAUAGGGAUCGGGAAGGCGUCCUUGACGGUGAGGGCGUUCAAGGCCCUGUAGUCGAUGCAGAAACGCCACCCGCCGUCCGCCUUCUUGACGAGAAGCACCGGGGACGAGAAAGCGGAGUCGCUGCGCCGAAUAAUGCCUUGUUGCAACAUGGUCGCGCAUUGCUUCUCCAAUUCGUCCUUGUGGGCAGCAGGGUACCGGUAGGGCCGGACCGCUACUGGCUGUGCGCCGGCCUUGAGGUUGAUGGCGUGAUCGCGGGCGCGCUGGGGAGGCAUGCCGUGGGGCUCGGCGAAGAUGUCGACGAACUCCGCCAGUAGUGCAUCGAGGAGGGGCGCGCUGGACGUCGUGGCGCAGGUCUCCAGUGUACUCGUGGGCGCCACCCCGGGCCAACGGACGGUGCUGCCCUGAUGCUGGAAGGUGACGGAGCCAUCUACGAAGUCCCACACCAGGCGGCCCAGCGUGGCCAUCCACUGCGUCCCCAGCACCAAGUCGUGGCCUGCAAGGGGCAUAACAAAGAGGUCGACGGCGAAAACGGAGUCGUGGAUCGCAAUUGGGGCAUGCUUGAUGACGCCUAGGCACGGCACCUUCUCGCCAUUGGCCACCAUGGCAGUGAGGCGCGGUUGGGACUGGAUGGGAAGGCCAGACCGCGCUGCUGCUGUCUCGGCAAUGAAGUUGUGGGUGCUGCCUGUGUCGAGCAGGGCAAUGAGUGGAGUUGAGCCCACUCGGACACGGACCUGCAUGGUCCUGCCCACAGACACGCCAACAACGGCGUGCAGAGAAAAUAUCGGCGCCUCCUGCGCCACUGCGUCUGCGGCUGCAUCGGUCUCUUCCGCCUGGGCGUCGUCAAUCUCCAUGCCUUCGAGGAAGAACAGACGCUUACAGAAUCGGUUGUGGCCGCGGGAGAACUUCUCAUUGUAGUUGAAGCACAACCCUUGGCGUCGGCGCUCGGCCAUCUCCUCGGGUGUCAGACGGCGCUGGUUGCCCUCGGCGUGGCCCUGUUGUGCAGCCGCGGGCGGCGCUGGUAGGGCCAAGAGCGGCGGCGGCGGUGGCAGGGCGGCCCUGGCCGCAGGCGCCGACAGGCCGCGCGGGGGCGCCCUUGAUGGAACAGGCGCCGGAUGCUCCAGCUCCAUCAACUCAACCUGGCGAGCCAAGCUGAUGGCGGCGGCGAGGGAGUCCGGGUUGUGGAGGCGGACGGUGCUGCUUAGCGGUGGUCGGAGCCCGCCAGUAAAGAGCUGCACCCGCUGCGCUUCGUCGAGUCUGCCGGCGCGAGGUAGGAGGGCCUGGAACCGGUUAGCAUACUCCUCCACGGUUCUUGUGCGGCGGCACUCCGCGAGCUCAAACAUUGGGGCGGAACGGAGUGGAGGGCCGAACCGCAAAUUGAGGAGAUCCUUGAAGUUAACCCACAUUGGCGUGCCCUCAUCGUCUUGUAGUUGGAUGAACCACAGCUGCGCAGCGUCGUCCAGAUGGUAGGACGCCAUGCGCACGCGCUCUUCUGCCAUGGUGCGAUGUUGGCGGAAGUAGGCCUCGCAUUUGUUGAGGAAUAGCAUCGGGUCGGUCGUGCCGUCGAAGUGGGGAAAGUCCCACUUCUUAUGCUUCGGGUGGAAAUCUUGCUCGCGGUGUCCUUCAGGGCGGCGGUUCUCGCUGCUUUCGUCCGUCGAGGCCUUCUCUUUGAUGGAGGCGAUGUCGGUCUUCAGCGCUGAGAUCUCGGCCGACAUGGUCUUGAUCUCCUUGAGGAGAUCGGCGAGGGUUGGUUCGGCCAUGGAGGGCUGCGAGGUGUGCGUGGCAGAGGGAGAUGGCGGCGGCUGGUGGUGGGCGGGUGUGGCAGCGGUAGAUGGCUCAGAACGAGCGCGAGAGGAGCGGCUGACUGCUGAUACCAGGUUGUCAAGGGCGUCAAGCCCCCGACGUGCAGGGCCUCGGCUACGGAGCUCGUAGCCGUCACCCGUAUUCUCCGGUGAGGUUAUACCCCUCUACCGCAGGCUUAAGGUUUAGAGAAGAGAUAGGAUAAUAAUCUUUGCUUGCCUCCAAUGUUCACGGUUACAGAAUAUAUAAAGCCUUAGCCCAAACUAAUAGGGGUAACAAAUCCCCUUAAAACCAGGAAUAGAUAAUAGCAAAUAGAAAUUAGAAAUCCAAAGUUAAGCGUAUGCUAGGUGAGCCAUCAGGCACAGUCAGUUGCAGAUAGUACCCGUUUCCUGUAUUGACAAUUGUUUGGUACAUCGUGAAACUUGUGUUGUUUUGGAAUAUGCCAUGUACCAAUUCACCACCCCAUGCGGCUCUUCUCCAGUACGGCUGUGUCCCAUUCCAAGCGACAAUCUGGAGAUCUGAGCUAGGGUCGCCACCCAAGGAGAAAUCACUGCUGGAUGGGUCAUCAGGCCCCUUCCAGGCAACAAGGCGUGUAGCACCAUAAGCUACGCUCAGUGAAAAAUUUACAUUGGGGACAACUGUGUCAGUCGGGUAAUUGAAGCUCUGCCAUAUGUCAGUGCCAUUUGGCGACCGGAUAACCAAGUUCCCCGAGUCGAGCAGGAUGGAAGCAGUUUCACCGCCUCCUGUGGUGCUGUUGUUUGUCGUCAUCCAGAUCGUGCGGCCUGUGGAGUCUAACAAGACAAGGUCAGAACUGUUGGUAAAAACUAGCUUCCCAGGCAAAUUGGUGGUAAUUGGGUUGUCGCGGUUGGCAAUCCACACGUAUGUGCGCCCAGGGAUGUUGUUGUACCAUAUUCCGACAUAAGAGCUUGAAGAGUUCUUCAGGGAGAAGAAGCCAAGAGCAAAGACACCACCGUCUGAGAUGAGCACCUCGCUGGGCAAGAGUGGCUUUGCAGGUGUUAGCCUGUCAUCGGAUUGGCACAAGACAACCAUGAACAGGAAGAUGAAAAUGGGGAGGUAAGCCAUGGCCACUAGGCCUUCCUUAGCAAGUUGGUAUAUGGUUGUGGAGAACACAACAAGGAGAUAGCACAAUGGUAGCUAAGAAUGAACCCUCGGACAGUUCAACUCCAAGGAGUAGAAAAUGGCACGGAUGCUCAGACUUUUCUGUCCCUCCAACUCAGUCGCUGUUCUGGUCAGUUGUCAAAUUCACAUGGAAAAAGGGGAACAAUCCAGCUCGCUUAGGUCUUGUUUGGAUGUCGCCGCAUUCACCUCAAUCCACAUGUGUUGAGGUGGAUUGGGGUGGAAUUUAGUUUAUGUCUCACUCCAAUUGACGUCAACACAUGGGUUGAUGUGAAUCCAACUGCAUAAGAAAGGACGUUAAGAAAAAUUAGACUAGGAUAGUCCAGUUGUCGUAUGUUGAAGCUCAUAUUUCAGGUGCAUACUAAGGAUGAAGGGAUACAUUUAUUCGGUUAUUUCCUGACUGUAGAAACAUAGGAUAACAGCAAGACCAUCAAGUUUGGAGAUCCAAUGCUUGAAGAAAUCCAAGAUGUGUGUGACGAAGUAGCUGAUGCUGACACUCGCUACCUGCUCGCCUCAUAGGUCAAAGCUGUCAUUCUAGCACAGCCAUCAGUGGAUUAUUCAGCGUUGCGACAGGUCUACCGUGGGAAAUUAAAGACCAAGAAAAGCAUUGGCUUGUGUGUGAUCGUGCUAGUGCCACAUCAGUCUACAAAUAUACUUCUAGCUAGCUGGAAAUUGCACAGAAAUUGCUGCUGGUCUGUGCAAGGAAAGGCUAGGUUGAGAAGUAACGGAAGAGGGAGAUGCUAAGAAUCAGGUUACCGUCAGGCGGAGCUCCAAACUCCCAAGAGAUAGUAGCUUAACGCGGUCGGGAAGGGCGACGGCAUCAGCAUUGGGGGCCCAGGGCAGAUGUCCCAAAGAUUUCGGAAGGUUUCCGACCUUACGUCCCGGCCGGGGGUGGGCACCAUUGCCAAUGGUAGGCGUCGCAACUAGAGGCGUAGGCGUGGCCGGCGGUAGUGGCGGGGCAGUGGGCUAGGAUGGCGGCGAGGUAAAGGGAAGGAAGAUGAGAGGCAUGCUGUGGCUGCGGCGGCGGCAUGACCGACGGGCGGCGUGGGUGCCGCAGUGCCGGCAACUUCCGCCGUUCUGUUCCGCACGACGGGGUUCGGGGUAUUUGGGGUUUAGCUGGGCUGCUAUCGUAUCGUAUCGUAUGGGUCCCCACAAAAUGGGCUCGCGCUGUUCCGGGAGGCCGUGGGCUUGGAAGGGCACUACACGGCAAAGCCACCGUCAGCAUGGGCCCAUUAGGCUUUGGAGGAAGCACGCGUUCACCUUCCUUUUGGGCCGGUUUGCGGAGGCGGCGGUGGGGUGGCCAUUGGCGAAGCGGCGGUCGGCGGAGGACUGGAGCUGGUUCGGGGCCGAGGCGGAGGAGCCGCAGGCGCAGCCGCGCUAGAAGUCAGGAAUCAGGAAGAGAGGCAAGAGUCGUGGUCCUUCAAAACGUCGUCGUACGCUUUCUCGGUCCUUCACGAGUCGUGUUCCGGUAGACAAACAGUCGCCGGCUCGCCGCCCCUCUCUUCACGCGGUUCGACGCCGUUCGCCACGGUCGCCAUCUCCGCCGCCGCCGCCGGAAACUUGGCAUCUUCGCCGAUCUCGUUCUCCCCUUUUCCCACCCAGGAGGCAACAUGGUACGUUGGGGAUCUAACCCUAGGGGCUUCGCUCUAUUCCCUCCUUCCCCCUUUCCGAAUCUCGGGGGCCCUCCCUCGGAAUAUUUGCCCACCCCUGUCCUAAAUCCAUGCCGGUCGGGGGCAUGAUGUGAUGCUUUGUUAUUCGCCGGCGGUUCGAUUGUUUGACGGAUUGGUUCUUUUGGUUCUCUGCAGUCGUCGCUCGCUGCGGCGAGAGCGGAUAACUUCUACUACCCGCCGGAAUGGAGCCCCAAGAAGGUACGGAUCUCUUCGUCGAUGAAACAUCGUGUAGCCUCUUCAUUUUGGUUUAUUAUAUGUCCUGUGGUCGCUGAUUCGUUGCCGCUGUUGCUCAUGUUUGUUCUUGAUCAGGGUGGGUUGAACAAGUUCCAUGGACAGCAUGCGCUCAGGGAGCGGGCGAGGAAGCUCGACCAGGGCAUCCUGAUUAUAAGGUUUAUUUUCUUCUGAAAACAUUACAAGGAUGUGAUGUUAGAUUAUGUACACCAGGGAUCCAGAGCCAAGCAUAUUGAUUUAAAAUCAAUUAACACAAAACAUUACACAUUAACAUAUAUAAUUGCAAAUUCUCUGAACCCCACAGGCUCCACAGGGAUCCGCCACGACCUCUCUGUGUAUGUCCAUGUGUUUGCUUGUUUGUAUGAUUUUGGGGUGGGGUUUGAUGGUGGGACAUUGGGGGGGAAGGGUGCUGUAAAUAACAAAUAGAGAGGUAGAGGACUGACAUGUAUGGAUGAACACUUAUGCCAACAAGUUCAGGAAGGUUCUUCCUAAUCCUUUCCUAUUAAUAAGUAUUAACUUGUCGUUUUUUUAUUGCCUUUCGAAGCAUUAAACAUCCUUGAACAACAGUUGGCAGAUUGAUCCUACUCUUAUGUGCCUUUUCCUUAAAUUUGAUGCAAUUCACUCAGAUUGCCUGUGGCUGAAAGGCAGGGUACCACUGAAUGGUGUAUCACAUUUACCAAAGAUAUGCUUAUUGAAUUUUUGAAAGUGGCUGAUAGAUGAAGUAAACAUAUGCACGUCACUGUUGAUUUUGCUUAUUUGCAUGGGAUUAGAUAUUUCUUUUGCAAAACCAUUAUUCUAGUUUUUUUUUUCAUCCAUUGGCUUAUUAUACACUUGAAAUGAUCUUGCAGAUUUGAGAUGCCUUUUAACAUUUGGUGUGGUGGAUGCAAUUCCAUGAUAGCGAAGGGAGUAAGAUUUAAUGCUGAGAAGAAACAAGUUGGAAAUUAUUACUCUACCAAGGUACUUGACUGAUAACUGUACAGCUUUUUACUUACAGUUACAGUGCUAUGCACUGUUGCUGUUUGACAAUCUCCAACAUGUGAUGAAGCAUAAGAUGACUUCUCAUUUUUUUAAUUGAUUGGUAUUUGAAAAUCUGCUGAAUUUCCUUCGACAUAGGCUAGAUUCAGCCUAAUUAUUUACUUAUCAACCGAGUAUAUUGGUUUAGCUUCAACCAGGAACCAAACUGAAGCACCCAUCGAUAUUCACCUCACAUUUUUUCCUAGACUAUCAUCCUUUUCUGUCAAAUAUAAUAUACCUCACAUGGUCAAUCGUAUUCAGAAUGAUUAGUAAAUUUUAAAGUAGAAACAAAUUAUUUUUGGAAAAAGGGUUUAGCAUCAAACCAAGGGCAAAACUGAGGCAUGUGAGAAUGAUUAGUAAAUUUUAAAGUAGAAACAGAUUAUUUUUGGGUUUAGCAUCAAACCAAGGGCAGAACUGAGGCAUGUGUACUGUAGAUGUUGGUGUUGAGGUUGCCAACUAAGUUCUCUUUAAAUGUCUGAGUGAUGUGCUUCAUACCUUGUGCUUUCCUUAAAAUGUAUUUGUAAGUUCUUGAACUGAGAAAUAACAUUUAUUAGAUUAAUUUGUGUGCAAUAGGAAUAUAGGAUUCAACAUUACCUGAACCACUGUUAGGCAAAAUGGGCCACCAUAUCUUUCUGAUCUGCAUGCCUCUGUUAGUUGUGAAUCAUGAUUAAUAAAUUCAGCCAUAAAAUCUGCUCGACUACGAACCAUUGAUCAUUGAUGGGAACAUGUCCGCCAAGUUAAUUAUGGUUGUAUUCUUCAGGAGUUACAACCAGUUAACCUAGUAUUGAUGAUUAAUGUUAUUCUUCAUUCAAAACAAAUGGUCGAUGACCAAUUUGUGAAAAACAUCUGCUAAUGUUGUCUUGUGUCAUUAGAUAGAGUGAUAGACCAUAUUAUCCUUGCUAUAGGCUUCAUUGUAUCGUCGUUUGGCCAAUUUUCUUUCAAAACUUUGACAAUGUUGAAGAUAGCGACUCAACCUUCCGAAUUAACAAAUUAACCUGUGAGCUUCAGACCUGAGUGUUGCUUGUCUUUAAUAACAAAUCAUUAACAUAAGAUAAUUUUAUUAAACUUCUUUGAGUCUGACUGAUGUUCAGUGCUGCUGUUACCAGUCACAAAAAUUUGCAAAAACUGUGUUGUUGAGAAAUGACGAACUGUAGUAUUGGUACACUUAACUGCUAAUUUUAAGUACCAUGGCUUGAAAAUGCUCCAAGAUCCAACAGGCCCUUGAGGAACUUACCCUUCGAAAUGUGAUAUUUCAGUUCUGUUGUUUAAAGCUUUAAUAGUAUGAUAUCUUUAGUUAUUUUAAUUUCUGCCUUAAUCCUUUUCCUGAACAAGGUUUAGACAGAUACCAUAGGUUCUCCAAAUGACAGCACAUACAAAUGGAAUAUCAGAUGAAUGAAUUUGUCUCUAAGUUUAAUAUGGUCUGUUAACUAAUCACAAGAUUCUUUUUAGAUUUGCACUUCCACAGCAGCUUAAAAGUAAGUGUGCUAUGGAUAUUAACUGUAACCUUGACUUGAUAUUCAUAUUAAACCUAUGUGGGUGUGUGACCUGCAUCCAUUUCUCGUUUAAUAUAUCAAUUUAUUUGUUUAUUCUGAAAUGUGGCCCUACUUUGUGGGUUCCACUGUCAUUUGAUGUAAUAAUAACAAGAUCCUUUGUUUUAUUGUAUAUUCUGUCUUCUUGCCUAUAUUCAGUUUUUUUUCUCAGAAAAAAUUCUUGUGUGGUAAAAAUAUGUUUUAUGCAGUAGCUUUUAAUUCCUUUUAGGUUUAUGUAGAAUCAUUUACUAAAGUGUGUAUACUAGUUCUGUAGAAAGAUUAUAUGCAGUAGAAAAGGACUGAGUCCUAACUUGGUGCAAUCUUUAGCCAUAUCACUGUAGAAGGUCUGCAAUGUUGUAUAAUACAUGCUAACAAACUUCAUUUGUUCUCUUCUGAAAUGUGAGAAAUUCUUAAUGCCUAGAGCUUUCCAUAUAUUUCAGUUGCUUAAUUUCACAUGUUCUUCUAAAUCACUUUCUCCCUAUGCUGUUCUGACAUUGUUUAACAAAUGUUUAUUUGACAGAUAUGGAGCUUCACCAUGAAAUCACCCUGCUGCAAGCAUGAAAUUGUCAUACAGACAGACCCAAAGAAUACUGAAUAUGUCAUAAUCAGUGGGGCCCAAAAGAAAACAGAAGAUUUUGAUGUUGAGGACGCAGAGACAUUGCUGCUGCCAGCAGAUGAAGGUUCAACCCUGUAAAGAUUUAUUAUAUUCAUGAGAAACCCUUGUUUAAAAUGCAUGAUGUUUAUUUAUGGAUCUUUCCUCAGAUCGAGACAAGCUUGCGGAUCCUAUGUAUCGGCUUGAACACCAGGAAGAGGAUCUUCGGAAGAAAAAAGAAGCUGAGCCAGUUUUAGUUCGCCUUCAACGACUCUCUGACAGCCGUCACUCUGAUGAUUAUGCUCUGAACAGAGCACUGCGCGACCGUCUUAGGGUCAUCCAAUGAAUUCCUAUAAAUUAAUCAACUAUGCUCACCAUAGGCUAUGCAAUCACCACAUUUCUUAUCCACCUGUUUGUGUUUUUAUGUAGAGCCAAAAAAAGAGAGUUGCUGAAGAGAAGAAGUCCGCGAGAAAGAUGGGCCUCGGAGUGCGGCUCUUGCCUCCCUCUGCAGCUGAUGCCGCCGCGGCGGCUUCAGUGAAGUUUGCAUCAAGAUUUGAGAAGAACAGAAAGGACAAGAGAGCAGCUAUCAAAGCUGCUUCCAUCUUCCCUGAGUCAUCGAGCUCAGCAUCAAAUUGUAAACUCGACCUCGUGCUGAAGAGGCGGAACAUAAAAGCUGGCGCGGCCACCACACUGAUGGCAGGCAGGGUGAAGCCAUCCUCCUGGCAGAGCGCCAGUUCCGCGAGCUCAAGGACCCGGAUGCCGGUUCUGGCAGCGCGCAAGUAGGCAGCCCAGGCUUUCAAGCUUGAGAAAUACUUGCACUGUGCGGGAAGUAGCUGCCUGGUUCUAUAUGAAUUAUGAUGGAAUGUACGUGUUAUAGCUUUUAAUGUUACUAUGGUUUUUUGGUUGUAUCAUGGUAGUAUACCUAAAGGAUUGUGUAGGGUCAGGAACGAACGUGUAAAGUAAUGUUACCAUUGUUUUGGUUUUUUUGUGACACAGUUGUCAUUGUUUUUUGCUGUAUACUGGUUGGGACUUGAGAUUACCUGGUAAUGGGCCAGCAUCCGUACUGAAACUGCACCAAUCUAUUUUGAACAUACAAGUACAGUAAACCCACCCCGCGCACCAUUUCUUCGGCUGUGGAAACCACACCAAACCCAUUUGCCAUGGGGUCUCCUUUUGCUGCCCGUCGGCAGUGCACGCGGCCGGAGAGCUGGGAAUCGGCCCUGCGAGGCAGUUGUGGUUUCGUAGGAUCCCCACCUGUCGUUGCUGCUUCCGUGGAGUUGGACUUGAACACAAUCUGCUCAGAGCUCAGACGCGGCUGCAAGCAGCGCAGGCGGCAGCUUCAGCGGCGACAAAGCAGCCGAAGAUGGAGAGCGUCCGGAGGUGCAGCAGGCCGCGCAGAUAGGCAGCGUCGAGGUUGAGCCCGGACUUGCACGGCGGGGUGGCGACGUCGGAGCCGAAAUGGAGGUGCGUGGUGUGGAACUGCGGCCACGGCGUGUCGGGGCAGGGCGGACGUGGUCCGCCAUCACACGGAAGACCACCCUCGGCAGCUCGGCGCCGGCGCGUCGACUUCGUCAGACGAACGGAUGAGUUCCACCGCCAGACCCGUCUUUUUUUUUUUCGUUCACCACUGCACCAUCACGAGCCGAGCGGAGCAGACACUUUUUUUUUUUUUUUUUUUUUGCCAAGCCAAAUUGGCUCGCUGGUCGUUGCCCGAAUGCUUGCUGUCCCCACCUGCUGGCCUCCACUCUUAUCUUUUUUCUGCCGUGAACAUUUUUCCCACUACUCGUAGCAAUCAAAGACCCACCCGCAGAAAGCUAGCCAGCCAAAGUGCCAACCCCCCAAACCCCCAUUAUAUCUACCACUAGCACUGCGAAGUGCGAGCGAAACUAAUCGCUCAAUUCUUCGUCGCCUCCUUCAUUUUGCCAGUUGCCACCAAAUACGCCGCGGCCGCUGCCUCACCCCGCUAGUCCGGCCGCCCUCCCCUCCUCGCAAGAAGCGUUCCUCCUGCCUGCAUCUUGGCUAGGUAACUGGUUCUACUUCCUUGUGUUCCUCCCUGUUUCCUCCUAUGUUUGGCCGGGCUCUGUGGUGCACUGGUGCUGUUCUUGGAUUUCUAGUUUUCCUGAAAGUUUUCUUUCUGCCUCCGAAUUUGGCCGCGGGAUCCCCAAAUUUGGGCUAUUUUUCUCUAUGAUAUGAUUCUUGCGGUGCCCGGUUGUUCAGUUCAGAAUUUAGAUUAUUGUUCAUACAGUCUCUACUUAGCAGGGUACAUGUUCUUACUUCGGCAAACCAAAUUCUAAUCCGCGACCGAUAGCGCUAGGCCUAUGCACUUUGUAGUCCUUAACCUCCUAAUGUAGCCCUUUCUCUUUACCUUAUGUUAUACUUUUUUUUUCUGUCGGUAGAACCCCUUGUUUGUGUUUUAUUUCUUUCUGAGGUGUCAGAGUUUACAUAUCCACCUUGAGUCAGUUCAUCGCUGUCCAUCUUAUCGAUAUUCACUAAUCCUUUUCUCUGAAAGGAACUACUAAAGUUGGAUUUCUUCUCUGUUCUUAUGGCAGGAUCUGUAUAUGCCUUUUUCGGUGAACAAGAACUGAAAGACUACUGUCCCGACCACCCAGCAAUUUGCCAGAUUCUUUCUUGCCCAAAACCCCAAAGAGAAAAGGCCCAAUGUUCUGCUAAGCUAGAGAUGUUCCUAGAGCCAGCCAUCUUAUCUUAUAGCUAAACUGCUGUAAAAAGAGCCUUGUGAGACACCAACAAUCAAAUGGCACACCCAACCUUGUCAGCUACCCUCAGAUGCCUCACACUGCUAUGCAUCUUGGCACUUGCCGUGGCGGCUGACAACAAUACCAUUGGCUCUGGCCAGAUACGCUUGGAUUGUGGAGCAACAAGCCCAACAGGCCCAGAUGCUGAUGGCCGGAGCUGGGACAGCGACACCAAUUCCAAGUUUGCGCCUGCACUGAAAGGAAUUGCAGCAACUGCUUCAUACCAGGACUCUUCACUACCAUCCGCUACGCCUUACAUGACUGCUCGCAUCUUCACCUCAAAUUACACCUAUUCCUUUCCUGUUAGUCCUGGCUGCAUGUUCGUGCGCCUCUACUUCUAUCCUACCAAUUACGUUAGCAACCAUGCUGCUGCAGAUGCUUACUUUGGUGUCACAGCCGGCAAUCUGACCCUUUUAUAUGACUUCAAUGCCUCCCAAACUGCUGCGGCAGUUACUCCAGUUAGUGUCGCCUUCUUUGUUCGUGAAUACUACAUAAACGUUACUGAAGGCAGCCUAAACCUCACUUUCUCCCCAUCCACACACCACAAUGGCUCUUAUGCAUUCAUCAACGGGAUCGAAAUUGUGCCCACACCUGACCUCUUCACAACACCAAAACCAACACUAGUCAAUGGAGGAAACAUGGAUCUUGCUGGAACGGGGUUCCAAACAAUGUACCGGCUUAAUGUAGGAGGCCAGGCCAUCCCACCACAAGGAGAUGUUGACUUCUACCGUUCAUGGGGAGACGACAGUUUUUACAUAUAUGCUUCUGAUUAUGGUGUGACUUUUGGGAAAGACAACAAUCUUACAAUCACGUAUACACCCAGUGUACCAAACUACACUGCACCAUUUAAUGUCUAUGCAACUGCUCGCUCUAUGGGGCCAAAUGCCCAGAUCAACCUGAACCACAAUCUUACAUGGAUUUUACCUGUUGAUGCUGGGUUCUACUACCUCCUAAGGUUCCAUUUCUGUGAGAUCCAGUAUCCGAUAACAAAGGUGAAUCAGAGGUCAUUCUUCAUCUACAUCAACAAUCAGACAGCACAACAGCAAAUGGAUGUCAUCGCGUUUAGCGGAGGAAUUGGCAACACAGUGUACAGAGAUUAUGUUACCAUCACAGCUGGUUCUGGUCAGACGGAUUUAUGGGUUGCCCUCCACCCAGAUCUUUCGACGAGACCUGAGUACUUCGAUGCAAUAUUGAAUGGUCUGGAGGUCUUCAAGCUGCAGAAUUAUGGAAACAAUAGUCUUAAUGGGCUCAACCCUCCCCUUCCAUCUGUUGAAACUAAUAAUGGGAAAUCUAGUGGCAGAAACAAAAGUUCUGUGCCGGCAAUCGUUGGUGGAGCUGUUGGUGGUUUUGCUGCGCUGCUCAUUGCCUUUAUUGGUGUGUGCAUCAUCUGCAGAAGAAAGGAGGUAGCAAAGGAAUCUGGGAAACCCGAUGAUGGCCAGUGGACUCCUCUCACUGAUUACAGCAAGUCACGGUCAAACACCUCAGGGAAGACAACAACUACAGGGAGCCGUACAUCAACAUUGCCAUCUAAUCUUUGCCGCCACUUCUCAUUUGGUGAAAUCCAGGCAGCCACCAAUAAUUUUGAUCAAACCUCGCUCCUCGGCAAAGGUGGUUUUGGAAAUGUGUACCUUGGAGAGAUAGAUAGUGGCACAAUGGUGGCAAUCAAGCGUGGUAACCCAACGUCUGAGCAGGGUGUGCACGAGUUCCAGACUGAGAUUGAGAUGUUGUCGAAGCUCCGACACCGUCACCUUGUGUCGCUGAUUGGGUAUUGCGAUGAUAUGAAUGAGAUGAUUCUAGUGUAUGAUUACAUGGCCAAUGGGACUCUGAGGGAGCACUUGUACAACACCAAGAAGCCAGCACUCUCCUGGAAGAAGCGGCUUGAGAUAUGUAUCGGUGCCGCUCGGGGACUGCAUUACCUGCACACAGGUGCAAAGCAUACCAUCAUACACAGAGAUGUCAAGACCACCAACAUUUUGUUGGAUGACAAAUUGGUUGCUAAGGUUUCUGACUUUGGGCUGUCAAAGACUAGUCCAAAUGUCGAUAACACCCAUGUGAGCACGGUUGUGAAGGGAAGCUUUGGAUACCUUGACCCUGAGUACUUCCGACGGCAGCAGCUCACUGAGAAAUCUGAUGUCUACUCAUUUGGAGUCGUGCUGUUUGAGGUCCUCUGUGCACGCCCUGCCCUGAGCCCCUCGCUUCCAAAGGAGCAAGUGAGCCUCGCCGACUGGGCACUGCACUCCCAGAAGAAAGGCAUUCUUGGGCAGAUCAUCGACCCAUAUCUGCAAGGGAAAAUCUCUCCCCAAUGUUUCAUGAAGUUCGCGGAGACCGCAGAGAAGUGUGUGGCUGAUCACAGCAUCGAUAGACCAUCUAUGGCCGAUGUCCUCUGGAACCUUGAAUUUGCACUCCAGCUGCAGGAGAGUGCGGAGGACAGUAGCAGCGUCACCGACGGGACAUCUUCAAACACGUCUCCACUUACCAUCCUCAGGCUUCACUCGGAUGAACCAACGACAGACACCACCACCACCACAUCAACGAGUAUGAGCAUGACAGGACGGAGCCUCGCAAGUGUGGAUUCAGAUGGGCUGACCCCAAGCAGUGUCUUCUCGCAGCUCAUGCAUCCAGGUGGCAGAUGAAAACCGAAAAUAGAACUGCAGCCUGCAGUUAAUCUCUUCUGAUCUGCUAUAUGUUUCUAGUUUCAUGGUAUAUAUAUAUAUGACCUACUAGUAUAGUUAUCCUAUAUACAUAUAUAUUCAGCAUAUAGUUGCUUCAUCUUAAUAAAAAGUAGUUCAUCCUAUAUGUAUGUAUUGUGCCAGAGCCUGCAGAAAUCACUGUAAUGGCAAGGUACUUCCCUUUAAAUUAUCUGCUUAAACAUGUACCUGAGGUAUGUUUCUCACUUCAAGGCCGAUUUGUAAUAUUCACAUAUAUAUGAAAGUAAGGUGUCACCCUUUGAUUUCCUUGAUUGUAAUCUCCUUAACUAGUAAAUGAAUUGGGAGACACAGAAGGUUCAAAACUGAAAUCAUGCAUUUUCGGUUCAUGGACCCAUAUACUUUUUUCUCACCAAGUUUGUGUUCAGUGUUUGGCCAUCAGACCAUAGUAGUCAUAUAUAUUUACUGAUCGACAGUCUACACUGUGAUUCCUGCCCACCUUGAGCUGUGAGGAGGCAUCGCAAGCUGAAGGAAUCACAAUAAUACAUGACACUCAGAUACUUCAUAGUGCAUACCAUACUGUAAUGUCUCACACGCCAGCCCAGUGAUUACAAGGGCAUAUGCCAGUGAGGCCAAAAGUGAUUGUUGUUAGCGGAAAUAUCACAAUUAUGAUGGGGUCCAUGCAUGCAGAAUCUGUUACCACACGACUCGUGCUGAUGACACGGUCUUCCAUCAAACAAUAAACCUAUGUGCUCCUCUUUCCAGAGUCCAGACAGCCGCCAUGCCGGACGACCUAUCCGUUCCGUCAACAUGCCAGUCAGUGUCUCCGCUGGACUCAUCCGAAUUCGUCAAAAAGGAAUUCCAGCAUACGGGCCCCACAAAUUGCUGAAAAGUCUAGGUCACCAACCUACGCACAGUGCUAUGCAAUUAUUAAUUAAUUAUACAUGGUAUAAACCAAAACACCAGUCUUCAUUUUGAUUUCUUCUGAAAAGGUAGCUAGGUCGUCUGACGUGACCGGAUAACUGUCGAUCGAGCCCGUGACACGCUCAAGGCUCCCUGCUGGGGACGGCAAAUGGUUACUGUGUCCACCAUAAUUCAGUUUCAUCCACAUCUAAAUCUAAAUGCUUUUUGACAUUUUCAAUAUUCAACAGAAGUCAUACUCACAAAAGCGAAAAAUAUCCCCGUGGCAAGCAAUCGGCCGGGAUUGCAUGCAGCAGCCGGCAGCCGCGCCCUUUGGCUCUUUGCCAUGGAAAGUAGAGAGAAGUUUUUUUGACGCAUACGGCAGAAAAGUCCCCUAUCUAUAUUUUUUUUAUUAAAAUAUGAACAAAAGAAUACAAUAAUGUACAGGGACAAUACAAGGCCUUCAAGGCCAAAGGCAAAAAAACUGUGGUACCCUAUAGCCUAUUCUCACACCAAGCCUUCAAGGGUUCAGCAAUAUUCUUCUUAGCCUUGAUGCAAAACCAGGCCAAAGUCUUAAGUGCCGGCCUGGAGAAAACAAUUGACAGAUGUUAGUGAAAGCAAGCUGUUGUCACCAUUGUUAGUUCUCGGAACCUACCACUAGCUAAUAACGUGCCAGCAGCUAUGAGACUAUCUAUUUCUAUUCAGUUGAGGCAUGCAUUGCCGUGGAGGUCAAAGCACGCGAGGCAGCCGCGAAAGCUACAACACGGUAGCUACGCUCCAUUUGCACUGCACCGUACCCAGAUAAUUAGUCUCAUUCAGUUCAUCAGGCAUGCAUUGCCCUGGACUGGAGGCCAAAGCACGAGGCAGCUGCGAAAGCUACAGCGUACACGAUGGGCUCCAGUUGCACCAUCGACAACGAUUUUUUUUUAAAAAAAACAAUAUUAUAUUUCAAUAAAGAAAUAAAAAUAGGGGCUUGUCGGCCAUAUGCGACGACAACAACCAACUUGAGCUAGCGAGCCCGCUCGUUUAUCUUAUAAUUUAUAUUUUUUUACUAGUUAAUAGUGUUUUCUCUUACGAUAAAUCAGAUUUUUAGCUAUAUCUUUUGAGACCAGCAAAUAGCUUAACUUCUUUUUCUUUAUUCUUCUUUGUUGUGUUGAAAAUAAUGUUCCAAUCAUAUUUAAGUGUUCAUUUCCUAAUAACAUCAAUAAAAUGACACGUGGAAUCCGAUGGAGCAUUGUUUUUCUUUCUCGGACACUGAACUUUUACCGGUCCGCUGGGAGCACUGAGCGUGCCACAAGCAAGGGAGGGGCAUGGGGAGAUGGCCGCGCGUAGACUCACGGUGGUGCUCAGCACGACGCGAAUAAGUCGAAGUCGCUGGUGGCGGCGCGCCUGGUCCUCCCGUGGCUGUGGGAGUGGUGGGCGAGGAGGAAGGUUGAGGGAUUAGGGUUAGAUUUUGUAUAUAUAUACUGGACUGCUGCUGGGCCUCCAUGGGCUGAUUUGAAGAGACCUAAAGCUGCGCCGCUAUAAGCUAUUUGCGGGGCAGGUUUGCGAGGAUCGGGUUCGGGGAUGGAUCCCCAUCCCCAUCCCCGCCAGCCCCGACGGGGACUGCUUUUCUACCAUUUUGGAUACCCGUGGGGGAGAAAUUGGCACCAUCUUCAUCCUCUAAUAGAAAGAAUUCCUCGCGGGGAAUCGGGGAUCGGGCCCCGUUGCCAUCUUUAUUACCAGGCGAGUCCUUUUCAAAACUGUUUGGUUCCGGGGCGAGGAGGGUCAGGACCCGUCCCCUACAAUCGAGGGGACGAGUUCGUCCUCGUUGGCGGCGUCCCUCGUCGGCUCGUCCGUCUAUGUCCACGAGUGAAGCGGAUGAAGGCGCAGAGACCAGGACGAGCGAAAUGGAACGCACCUCGAUAGCCGGCGGCGGGGAGAUUGCGAUGGCUUGCGACCGGAGCCCCUCCCAGCGACGCGGGACGUACGAUGUGGAAUGUGCGGCAGCCGUGAGCUCAUAGCAAUGGAUCUCGCGGCGGCUGAGCUCCUGGCAAGCGGUGCCAGCAGCGCAACCUGGUGUCUAGUGAGGGAGGCGCGGUCCCCCUGCGAGGGCAGCGCUGGGCGGGCGGCGCGUCGUUCGCGGUGCAGGCGGCGCGGCGUACGAAACAGGAGUUUUACCGAGCGGGCGGCGGCGCACUGCGAGAGUCCGUGAGAAGAAGAUGAGACACUCACAAUGCAGACUCUACCAUAGAGUCUAAAGUUAUUUAUUACCUCGAACAAUAUGAACUUAGAGUCUAAAUAAAACUUUGAGUCUUAUUUUUUCUACCUCUUUCUUCAAUAAAUAUGUUGCCACAUCAGUAAAAUACCAUAAAUAAUAUGUAAUUAAUUGUCUUGGACUCUGUGAUAGAGUCUUGUAUUGUGAGUGCCCUAAGGCCGUAAAAGAAAUAAUUAUAGUAAGCAUGGAAGAUGACAUGUGGACCCAUAAACGAAAGUUACUUUGACGUCGACGACGAUUUAAUAACAAAAGUGCUCCUCGUCUACCAAGCCAACUGCCUCAGGCCUCGUUUAGUUACACCCAAAAUCUAAAUCUUUUUUAAGAUUCCUCUUCUCGCUGUCGCCCUAGGCACCUCGCCGCACUCAGCCGCGCCGUCACCACGAGAUGGGGGCAGCGACCUCCCCUUACUCUUCAAGGUCUGUGACGUCGCCUCCGGCAUUCCCCAUCGUGGGCCCACCUCCGGCAUCUCUCCCCUUCGUAGGCCCACCUCGCCGUCGUCGUCUGUGGGUAGCGUGCCUUCCUCAUCUCGUCGCCCGAACAAGCACCAGCUCGUGGCCACCACUUCUGGAGCAGGUGUAACCGACAGUGAGACCUUCUGCGGUCAUGGAUCUAGAGCAAGCGUGAGCUAUCCCCGUUAUGGUGGUGGGGACUGGGGACACGGCAUGGGGGCGCCCGUGUUUUCGUCUUCUAGUUGUAGUGUGGUGGCGCCGGAGCAGGUUCUUCAGGUCCCGUGCUGCCCUCGAUGCCGGCCGUGGCGAGGCAGAACAACCGCGCGGCCGCCGCGUUGAGCCAGCUUCGGUCGUGGUGGUGGGCCUGGCGCUGCAUGGAGACGCAAAGAGACAGAUAUACAACGCAUAUUUGUGCUCCGCGUAGCCUCCGACCCAAAAUAGGUCAUGUGAUUGCGUGCUCCGUUGGAGCAUGUUUUCUUGCCACUAAACCAUUGUACACCAUCCAUUUUGAAUAUGGGUCAUGGUAUGCGACCGUUGUUGGAGUUCUCACUCGUUUCUUGCUGAGCAACUGGAAAGAGAGCGCUUGUUGGAUGCCUGGAUGGACCGUGUUGUGGUACAGCUACAGUAUAGGUUAGACCCACUUCAGUAAGACCUCUCAAGACUUCUCAGCCCAGAACAACAACUGUUUGCGUAUUGGGCUCUCAAUGGUAAAGUUCAUUAUGCAGUCUAACAAAGUAUAAAACUCUUGUCUCAUUCCACUGAAAAAGAACUCCUAAGCUCAAAAAAAAAACCAAAAAAAACUCCUGUUUCAUUCACAAAUUAAUCUGUCCAUUUAAUGGGUGAUUGUUGAGCAAGCAGUGCUCUGGGUGAUGGCCGGAGCUAGACUAAUUUUGCAAUAACAGUUACAGAUGGGGACACUUUAUUUUAAAGGAAAAACGACAUCACCUAGCGCCCCCCUAGCGUUGUGAGGCUCAUGCCAUUAAUGGACAAUUCCUUGUUGUCGCCGGCCUUUUCAGGUUGGGAAUCCCUACAUGCGAAACACAUGGGUUUUUUUGGUGAUGGGAGUGCCGUGGUUUUGUUCUCCAACAUAAACACAACUUCUGACAUGAGUGGCCUACAAUUCGGGCUGUUUUGAACACACAACAGUCCUAUAUGGAUGCAUCUUGCAACUUCGUCGAGGGAGCAACUCUCCAUAAGAGAUGAGUCAACAAAGUCUUCUAUGUUGCCAUCUCUCCAUAAAUUCCAUGCCUGAAUAGAAAUACAACUUUUACAAUGAUCCAGCGUAAGCAUGGACUUAUAGUUUUAAUCCUGAGCAUACUUACAUAUUCUAUGAGGUUAGAAAAACCCUCGAUGCGAUGUGGUGAGCUGAUCUUUAGUCCACUAACCAUCUCCAACAAUAAAACACCAAAGCUGUAGGUGUCUGACUUAACUGAAAAGGCGCCUUCCAUCACAUACUCAGGGGACAUGUAACCACUGCAAAAGAUUUCACCAAACCUUUGUAAUCAAACUCUUUGUCUGCUUAAUGAAAUACAUACCUCGGUAUGCUCUCAAAAAAGACAUGUAACCGCUGCAAAAGAUUUCACCAAUGUAUAGGGUACGUAUAUACACACAUUCACACAGUCUGAAUAAGCAUGAGCAAACAAUUUGUAUAUCAAGAACUAACAGGGCAUGAGUUGCUUACUAUGUCCCAACAAGACGAUUAGUAUUUGCUUCAAGCUCGUUGCCACUGAAUAUCCUUGCCAUACCAAAAUCUGAUAUCUUGGGGUUCAUCUCCUUAUCCAACAAGACGUUGCUUGCCUUGAGAUCUCUAUGGAUUAUUGUUAAUCUUGAAUCCUGAUGCAGAUACAAAAUUCCUCUAGCUAUCCCUUGCAUUAUCUUACACCUUAUUGGCCAUGGAAGCACGUGCUUUCUUGCAGAGUCUAAUAAGAAUAGCAUGAAAAAAAAGGCAUAUAUAUGACUACUCAUUUAUUGGGUACUAGGGUUUCUCAGUUUUUUUUAAAGGAAGGGUUUCUCAGAUUCAUGGUAUGAAAAAGAUGAAUGUACCAAAAAUGAAGUAAUCCAAGCUCUUGUUGGGCAAGUAUUCAUAAACCAACAGCUUCUCAUCUUGGUGAACGCAACAACCAAUAAGCUUAACUAGGUUCUUGUGUUGCAAAUUUGCAAUCAAGACUGCUUCAUUUCGAAACUCCUCUGUGCCUUGUCCUGAACCCUUGCUAAGUCUUUUGACAGCUACUUCCUUGGUACCUUGCAACACUCCCUACAAGAUUUUCAAAAUCAAAGAAUUUUCUGUACUUAUCAAAGUAAAUUUUUUGUAAUUAGUACAGUAGUACCUUGUAAACCUUGCCAAAUCCUCCCUUCCCAAGCUCAUUGGAGUCCGCGAAAUUGUCAGUUGCUGCGACAAUGUCUUCAAAGCUAAUAAAUGGAGACUCCAAAUUUUCCCCAGCUUCAUCCGUAGACCUCAAAUACUCUAGCAUCUUUCUCCUCUCUGUUUUCUUCUUUUGCCGUUUGCCUGCUAGUAGAAACAUCAAUGGAAUUUCCCCCCUCAACAGGGGUUGUUUGGUUGCUAGACACAAUUUGCCACACUUUACCUUAGUCAAGUUUGACCAAGUUGACAAGUGUUUGGUUGACAACUAAGCUUAGGCAUGAUUCUUUAGGGCUCCACAUGUCAUAGAGUAAAAAAGUGUGACAAGAUUCCUUUAAGCAUGGUAAAGUGUGGCAACUAAUUUGCUAGCCACACUUUUUGUGGCUUGCCACACUUACCUAAAGUUAGUUGCGGUGGAUUAUGGCUACCAACCAAACAUCCCCGUGACACAACAACAUUGCAGUUUGGAAGACAGGGCUCUUGAUCUUUGUACCUCUGUAUUUGCAUGUCAAGAAGAAAGCUAUGGAUGCAAGAAGCAGCAGGCAUGCUAUGAUCGGAAGCAAAAAUUUUAGUGAGAUUCUCUUGUGUUGAACUGCAAGCAAAAAUGUGUAUCCCGUUAGUAUUUUCUGCAUAACACAUUAUUACUUGCCAUAGUGUUAGUUGGCUAUAUCUGUGAGCACUCAACUCCUAAAAGGACUGACUGUGAAACACUUGAAGCACCUAAAUACAAGCCAAACUGUGUAGCUGCUAGCAUUGCUGGACAUUGGUAGUAAGCUAAGGUUUCAACUAAAUGGAUAUUUUUUUUUGAAAGGAAAAAAUGGAUAUUAAAGAUACAUAGAGGUGUCAUCCAAAUGGGGAAGAAAACUAUGGAUAUAGCUAAGAAGAAAUACUCCCUCGUCAUAAUAACAAAUGUAUUUAGAGAGAGAGAUGGAGUAUGUUGUGUUUCAUUUGUAGGUUUAAAAGUAAGACUGGGCGGGAGUGCAUACCAUGAGAUCUGGCAAGCCGGAGGUACAGGUUCUGACCAGAGCUGGCAGCUGAUGCUUUCCCUGUGUCGACGAGAUCUCCCGUCCAAAGCAGGCACCUCAUCGACGUGUCGACCAAAGCGCCGGCGCUGCUCACGUUGACGUAAGCAUACGCCGUGCAAGAGCAGUUCGCGCUGCACUCGGCGGCGCACUGCUCCAAGGUUGUGUUGCCGAUCUGCAAGAACUUAUCGGGAACCGUCAUCCCGGGCAAAGUCACGAAACGGUCCUCCCCUCCGCCGCACUCCAGCGCGUCGUUCCUCCGGCAUCCCCUGGAAAUGUCGAGGCCGUCGAUGGGCUCGAACCCAUCGAGGCACCGGCAGCUUGGCACAGCCUCUGUGUGGUCGCAGUAGCCGAACGCGCCGCACGACGCGUAGAGGUCGCAGCCAGGGCCGGGACGCUCAAAGCUGGGUGUCCACUGUGAGGACGUAGUGUUGCUGUUCUGCCGGGUCAGGAGGCUCAUGCUGCCGUCGUGCUUGAGCAAAACACGCGUCAACGGUGAGCCGUGGUGGGAGACGUUGACGUUGUACGUGUAGUAGACCUCGUCACCUGUGUUGAUCACCGACGGGUGCACGACGGCGGAGGUAGCGCCGCCGCCGAAGCUGAACACUGAGACGUCGUCGAAAAAACUGAUGCGGUAGUAGGGCCGGCCGCUGUUCCAAACGAAGAACUGGAGGUUUGAGCUGGGAUCGAUGCUGCCGGAGAAGUCCCCGGGGGACAUGUCGCCGGGGCUCUUGCAAGCGACUAUGCUCGUGUUCACGAUUCCCUUGUAGCUGAGCAAAACCUUCAUCGUCGGGAGGAUGGUGGCGGAUGGGUGGUCGAAGCUUUGCCACCAUAUGGCGGUGCCGCCGCCGUUGGCUGACCGGAGGACAAAGUUUCCAGAGUUGAGUAGCACCGCGACAACUCCGGUGGUGGUGGUGGCCGCCGCCGCCGCCGUCGUCGUCGUCGUCCAUAGAGCACGGCCGGAGUCGGACAGCAGCGCGAGCUGUUGGUCGUUGGUGAUGGCGAGCUUCGCAGAGGUGGUGACCGGGUUGUCGCGAUUAGCGACCCACACAGUGACAUCACGAGUGCCGUUGUACUGGUACCAGAUCCCGAGGUACAAGCUCUCGUUGGAGUUGGAAGGGGAGAAGAAGCCAAGAGCGAACACACCGUUCCUGGAGACGAGCGUGUCUCCGGGGUAGAGUGGCUUUGCUUGUGUGAGCGUGUCAUCCGAUUCCGAUUGGCAGGGUGAAGUGAUGAUGAAGACGAAAAUGGGAAGAAGAAGGAGGGCGGCCAUGUCCAUUAUUAUUAGGCCCUUGUGUCGUGCAUGGGCAUGAUGAUGAUGGUUUAAUUUCUCUUCUUGCUCUUGUGGUAGUGGAAAUUAAAUAAGUGGAUGUAUAUAUGAUGUGUGGAUCUGGUGGAAAGUGAUGCUUCGUCAAAAUCAGAACGCAACUCUCAUCUCAUCACCUGGAACUGGAACAGCAGGACUGCAAGUGUGGCCGGUGGCGCUGACGAAGGGGUUGGUGAUUGGCGCGCGGCGAACCACACGGCGAGGUGAUCGUGAUUCGGCCGGUGCAGGUACGCCACCGCGCGCGGCACCACCGGCGGUUGGCGGAGGAGCUGGGGGUGCGGACCGCGAAGUGGCGGAGAUCGACGCGGACUAGCUAGCUAGUAGUAGCCUUGCUCGAGUGAGUCACGGUCUCAUCUGCUUUGUGUUGUCUGUUGUGUCAACCUACCAUACCAGUGGUUGGAUGGCGAUCAAAACAAGAACUCGCCGGGGAUGAGAAUGUACCGUCCAGUCCAGGACGUAGUAUAUGUAGGCCAUGACCAUUGACGACCCGCGUGCUAUUGUCUCCGUGAGACCGCGAAGAAGAAAGCACGAUCACGUACACGACACGCUUGAUGGCUUGAGGACUGAGGUCGCGUCAAGUCUAGGCAUUCAAGUAGUGGUAGGACCCGCGCGCGCAUCUCCGCUGGCCGGUGGAUCGCCACGCGAGCACGACCCGGUCUAGGCUUCUUUACUUGCAAAAUAUUUUAUAAAAUAUGAAUAGUAUUAAUUUCGUUUAUAUUUGAUAAAUAUUGUCCAAUCAUAGAUUAACUAGGCUCAAAAGAUUCGUCUCGUCAAUUUCGUCCAAACUGUGUAAUUAGUUUUUAUUUUCGUCUAUAUUUAGAGCCUGUUUGGUACAGCUUACAACAGCUUCAUGAGCUGUUGUAAGCUGUUUUUUUUGUCAAACACUUAUUUCCAAAACAACUUUAUGGGUGAAGCUGUUUUUCCACUUCUCUCACAAAGACAUAAGUUGUGAUGAAGCUGAAAAAAGUAGCUUAUUGUAGCUCUUUCUCUUAUUUCUCUCUCAACUAUGCAUGAACUAGUUGGUGAAACUAUUUUGCCAAAUAUUUUUCCCAAAACAGCUUAACUUCAUCUAGAAAGUCACUCAUAAAGUUAUUUUCUAAAAAACAAUUUUACUAGUGAAGUUGAGCUGUGCCAAACAAGCCCUUAAUACUUUAUGCAUAUGUCUAAACAUUCGAUGAGAUAGGUAGAGGAACUACAGUACUAUUAUGUAUCGUCUCCGUCAGCCACAGUGGACUGCCCACACGAGAUAUAUAGGACUGUCGAGCAAGAUGACAAAAGCAUGACGCGACUUCACGAACGAAAGAUAUAUACGAUGGUACUGGUAACAUGUACUACGCUCAUGCUGAGGCCUUGUUUAGUUUCCAAAAAAUUUCAAAAUUUCCCGUCACAUCGAAUCUUACAGCACAUGUAUGGAGUAUUAAAUUUAGACAAAAACAAAAACUAAUUACACAGUUUAUCUGUAAAUCACGAGAUGAAUCUUUUGACUCUAAUUAGUCUAUGAUUGGACAAUAUUUGCCACAAACAAACGAAAGUGCUACAGUGUCAAAACCUAAAAAUUUUGCCAACUAAACAAGGCCUUAGGUGCAUGGGUGGUCUCGACGACGACGACUUCGUCGGUCAGUCGGUCACACGUCGCCAAGCGCGCGCACGCAGCACAGCACGCUACCGCGAAGAACGCGGCUGUUGGAAUUGAAACGCGUACAAGGAACAGCGAAGAUAGAUUGAUCCGGCCUGCCGCGGCAUACAGUGCAGUCUAGUAAAAGCCCCAGAUGAAAUUUUUUUUGUUACAUUGAAUAUAUCGGAAGGAUGUCGGGAGGAGUUUUUAGAAACUAAUAAAAAAACAAAUUACAUAGCUCGUUAAAAAACUGCAAGACAAAUUUAUUAAGCAUAAUUAAUCUGUCAUUAGUACAUGUGGGUUACUGUAGCACUUAAGGCUAAUCAUAAUGUAACUAGGCUUAAAAGAUUCGUCUCGCGAUUUUCAGUCAAACUAUAUAAUUAGUUUAUUUUUUAUGUACAUUUAAUGUUACGUGCAUGUGUCAAAGAUUCGAUGGGAUGGAUGAAAAAAUUUUAGAUGGAAAACUAAGGGCCUAAGCCAGCAACAGGCCAACAGAAAAAGGACGAAGGCAGUGACCGUCGGAAAGAAGAAUCACUCGAUCAUCGGAUGCACAUAACUAACGGCAUGUUUGCUUUGUCGUGUUAAAGUUUACUGCCGGAAUGUUUCGAUAAGUAUUAAAUAUAGACUAUUUACGAAACUAAAAACACAGCUGGAGAGUAAUUUAAGAGACGAAUUUUUUAAGCCUAAUUAGUCUAUGAUUAAAUAAUAAUUACCAAAUAAGACGGAACUACUACAGGAGUACUUGUUAAACUUUAACACCCAAACCAAACACCCUCUAACAUAUAGUUCAAGACAUGGAAGAUCAAGGCUACCGGAUGAUAUGGACCGGGUUGCAUAAGAACAACCUAGCCAGUAGAUCAUCCGAUGAAGACCAGAGUCAUGGUCCAAUAGAAUACCCGGCCGGAUGGUAUGGACGACGAUGAAGGAUAAGACGCCAGAUCAUCCGGAGAAGAUGGCCUAGUGUCAAUGAGUGAAGAUUCAACGGUAGACUGAGAAUAUACCCCAUUAGAUAUAUAGUAUGGUGUUGUAUGGUGCGCACAAAAAUUAGUGGAUUUAUUUUUUUUUCCAAUGGCUUGUGUUAAGGGUGAUGUGGCUAUAUGUAUUAGAUUGCAUCAAUUCCUUGAGUAUGCUAGAGUGCCCCAAAGUUGUUACAGUGCAAGUUAGAGUGAGUGUUUUUCUACACUUCAUCCAUUCCCUGAACUUAUUCAACUUCAGUGUAUCUUCAUAAGUUUGAGACCAUAAAGCUUGAGAGCUUUGAGUGAUUAGGCCAUGUUUUCCAUGUAUCUUGGUGAUCUGGAAUGCUUUCAAACCCCCACUCAUGUAGUGUGGAGAAACUAUGUAGUGGACUUGGCAUUAAGGUGACCGAAAGAGCCCCCAUGGUAGUAGUGAGAUCGUGUGAAUCACACACUAGCCUUAGGUUGGUAGAGGCAUUGGGUGGUGAAUCCAACAUCGUGACCAAUAGAGACUAGCUUGACCAGGAGCAUACCUUGGUAGAGAGCUUGAAUUAUGGGUUUCAUUUUGACAAUCGAUACCAUAGGAUAUAACUUGGUGUCUCCAAGAGUUUGCCCUCUCUAUCCAUAGUAAUAGGCUAGUUCAUAGGAUCCCUAUUACCACAACCUCCUCUAGUAGCCGAGCGGCCUAUAGGAGCAUCUCUUGGUCCUCAUGGCGCUGUAGUUAUGCCCACUGCCGAAGCCAAUGUGUUCCCCUUAAUAGUACCUACAAGAAUAUUUUUGGUCUACAUCUAUGAAAUAUUACCUCAUUUCUUGUUGAACAGUAUUAUCCUUUUGCACGCACAUAGGGAAGACUUCUUUAUUGAUCUGGUGUGAUCGACUUGCUUAGGGAAGGUUGAGAACUUUUCUUUUCCUUUCAAAAAGGAUGACCUAGAUAGUCCAACGCAAUGCUGCCACUGCAAUUAAUAAAGAUAGAUUAUAUUUGCACUCACAAUGCAAGACUCUAUCACAGAGUCCAAGACACUUAAUUAUAUAUUAUUUAUGGUAUUUUGCUGAUGUGGCAGCAUAUUUAUUGAAGAAAGAGGUAGAAAAAAUAAGACUCCAAGUCUUAUUUAGACUCCAAGUCCACAUUAUUCGAGGUAAUAAAUAACUUUAGACUCUAUGAUAGAGUCUGCAUUGUGAGUGCCCUAAUUUACACCAUCUAUUAAAUGAGUCGUGUAUAUGUUAAUUGGUCUUGAGAUUCCAAACAAUAAAUGAAUAGCUCUCCACAGGAAAUCAGCAUAUGCACGAUCAAAAAACACGAUAGCUGAAGUUUUAAAGUCCACUUAAUAUUAGGGCAUAUGAAUUACAUCCUAAAUUGUUUCGGAGCAAUCUUUAUCUUACAAAUAGGCCUAGGUGGCGAUGACAUGACUCCUUGUCACGUCGAGCACUAAUGUCACCUUUGAAAAA